rnacentral:lncRNA from 1 species
CGUUUGCGUAAUGACGUAACGCAGCUGGCUCGUUUUAUAAUGGACCGUUAAAAUUCAAACUUGUUUCGAGAUUGAACUGUUUGUAUCGUCGCCUGGUAAGAUUUCAUGAGACAAAGGGGAGACAAACAGAAAAUCUUUUUUAGUGUGCUAGUUAAAUAACUUAAAUGUUUCAGUAAUAUGGUUUGUUCUUGUUAAGGUUGCCAGCUAAACCGAAAAUCCUGGUUUGGAAAGCGUUGCGCGAAUCCUAUCGUCGAAAAUCAAGAGGAGUGGCUAAAAUCAUGUUGGAGUGGACUGAACCAGGACAGUACCAAACACGGAGGUAAGGUGUAAAAGAGGAUGAUAUAAAAUGGCUAAAGAAGUGAUGCAAAUUAGCGUCUUAAGCUACGAGUCUACUAACUUGGUAGCCUUAUGUUAUCUGUGCAUCAUUUUAACGGCCGGCACGGGCCUGGGGCCGUUAAGAUUGAAAGAUUCAUGAAUACUUUGACUAACGUUUUCUCAGUAAUCUAAGAUUAAUGCAUUUUAUCAUGAGAUUAUUUUGCUGAGAGCUGUUGUACUUUGUAAGUCAACAUAUACUUCAUGGUGGCUUUGAUUUUGGAUUGCUUUUGUAUUCCAGGCUGGGUCUUUUAGGCCUUUGUUGUGGUUGACUUUUGCAUUUCAAUCAUGUACUAUCUGGGAUAAUUUGAUUGUUUAUAAUAGUGUUAAGUGUCGAUUUGACAGAUUUUUCUGGUGCUUUGCUUUGUGUCAGCUUCCUUUAAUUUAUAUUCUAAACCAGGGAGUACAAACAUCAGGAUAAAAGUAAUGCAGAUGACCAUAAAAUACUGAUACAGCUCUCAUGUAGUAAACCAAAAAUAUUGAAAUCCAGGCAUGCUUGUAAUGGCUUCAUUGCUGAGUAAAUUAUAACAUAGUUGGGGCAUGUUUUGCCACAUAAUAUAUUUGAGAAGUAAUAUUUUGCAAUGUCACAUGCUUUUUUGGCGGCAAAUAAGAUCUCAAACACUGAGCUAAGAUGUUUUAGUUCAGUGAGUGUUAUUUGGAGUAAAUUGUUUUCCAUGGCUGCUCGAGUAUACUAUGACUGAGGUCAUUUAAGAACUUCAAGACUGUUAUUUUUGCUGACAGAGCUUUACAAAGCUUUGCUUAGAAGCUUUCAGCAGGUCUGAGCUAAACAAUUGCUCAAUAUCUGCUUGUACUGGCAGUCUCCAACAUAGAGCAGCAUUGGCUUCAGUAGAAUGAAUGAUUCAUUUACUGAAUUUUGAUUCAAGCAUAGAGGGAAGAAAACCAAGGCGCCAAUGAUUUCAGAUGAGAAGAAGCACCUUUUUUUCCAGCUGCUGUGUAGCUGCAUAAACAUGGCUGCCCAUGCACACUAAGAACAGUUGAAAAGUGGCCAGAUAUAGAUAAGGUAGAUUUCCUCCAACACCUCAUGAACCUGACAGGGGAUCACUGCCUCUCGCCUCAGAUAGGCAUCAGAUAUUCAUGGGCAAAUGGAGCCUUAAAUCUUUUAAUCUUACUUGAUCUCUCCCCUGAUCACACUGGCUUAUUUUGCUUCUUAUCCAGUCAAUGCACAACACAGCUGACACCUCAUAUGCAUUCGCAUUAUUCCAUAAAUGAUAAACACAGUGGGUUGUGUUACAUGUGGCUAUCAUUACUGUUGCAGGAAUAUAUCGAAUUAGAGUUGGGUUUGGAGGAUACAAAGACUUUUUUCAUGCAAUGAUGGCUGUUGAGUUGAUUUAUUUUUUUCCUUUGUGCUCAGAAGUUUAAAGGAAAGAUAAUGUCACAGUGACAAAACCAUAAAACCCAAACCAGAAGAAAACUGACUGGGUGGUAAUUUCUCUAAUACAUAGAUAAAAGAUUAUUUGAAUCUACUAAGUAAUGCAUUCAGCAUUUGAAUGCACAUUUUCCUAUUUUUUCACAAAACAUGUAGUUUCCUUUUUUUGUUGUUUUUUUUUGUUUUACAACACUUGUAUUUAGGAUAACAAUAAAUACAUUUUAAGCACUUCUAUAUUGAAUGUAAAUGGAAAGAUACUAGUUCCCUAGCUGUGGCUUUGAGUUUUCCACCCUUUUGAAAGUUGUCUUUGGAGGACAACCAUUACAUUAGUCAAUGCAAAAGAGGCUUGGAAAUAUGAUUUCAUGCUUUGAUGCUUGUAGCAGAAGGAGGAAGCAAGCUCAGCAUCAGCAUUUGCCAUUAAAUGUGUUAAAUUUCCCCUGAUACCUGCAAAGAGCUCUGGGAAACAAUUACUCCCUCACUUAUAAGCUCAUACACACAUCGUAGAAGAUAUCAGUCUCUCUGAGUCUUUGCCUAUCUUGAUAAAUCAUCAUUCUCUUGCUUUUUUUUUUCUCACACUCAAACACAAACACAAAGAGGCACCCAGCCUAACAUAUGCAGGUGGGCGUUCAUGUUUGAAGGGUGGUCUGAGCACCAGACUGCAGUGUGCCAAAUAAAUAACUUUCAUAAAUAUCUGGAACACAACUCCCUGUCCCUCGGGAUUCACCCAGAAUAAAUCAGUCAAACAAUAAAAUCCUCUUUCCCAAAACUUCACAUAUCAGCAGUUCAAACAGCCUCCGAUCCAAAUGUAUGUGCACCAGCCAAGUGUAAUUGUGCCUUUUUUUCCUUAGCUCCAUCUUUUUCUCCCCUUUCUCUUCCCUUUUUUCUUUUUGUCUUCUCCCCCGUCUUGUAGCCAACAGCUGCAUGUUGUUUCCUAUAUUUCUUUUUAAUCAACAAUAUUAUUCCCAUCUUCAGGCCUCUGGUGGCCUCACCAUCUGUCACUUGCGUGAGACAAGAGGAAAGCAAUUAUUGAAUCCUGGCUUUGAGGAGCGCCUGCCUUCAUAAAAGUCCCUCUUGCUUUCCAGUUUUUCCUCUAGCCUUGCUUUCUCUGUAGCAACUCUGAGGAGAAAUUGUGAAAGAUAGCUGAGACCAUCAUUGAGUGCCAGACCACAGAGGCAACACAUUCACAGGGAUUUAACUAAAAAGUGACGUUAAUGCUGUUCACUCUGCAGAGGAGAUGCCAGGUUUAUAAAUCUAAGUUUGAUUACUGACAGAGGAAGAUUUUAUUCUUCUCGCUCUUGAGAGGAUUUCUGUUAAAGAUUUUACAUCUGGCCAGUUUCAAUACUCUGCUUCCACCAGUUGGACUGAACCUGCCAAUUCUAACAGUAACCUUAAAUCGACUCCAAAUUGGGCUGUUAAAUGUUGUCAUAUUCAUGGAGGGCCUGAGGGCAGUGCUGUUUAGAUAACUGUUGCCAUUUUCUGUUCUCUUAGCUUAAUUUUAUUACCAUUUAUUUGUUUAUUUAUUCACUCACUUGUUGGAAAGAACAGAGUUCACACUAGGGCUGUAAAGUCCUAGUUAACUGGUCGACUUCUUGGUCGAUAUGUGCUGAGUCAACCAAAAUUCUGAUCGGUCGACUCGAUUUUUUCCACGUCAAUUUACAGUCUAUGUUUAAUUUUAGCAGGAGGAACGUACCAAGUGCUAAUGGGGGUGUUACCAGAGCACCCCCGUUUUGAGAGCGUCCACCUUACUCAAUGUUUGGUGGUUUUCUGAAUAUUCAUUUUUAUUUUGAGCAUUUUAACUUGCCUUUUGUGUUUAAUUGCCUUCUUGUGCUGAUACCAGUAUAUUUUAACCCCGCUGCAGAAGGGUUUGCCAUCAGAGUCAGAACCCCAUCUAAUUAGUCUAUUUUUGGUCGGAGAUUUCAGGGUUUUAGUCGACCAAGCAUUUUUUGGUUGAUUACAGCCCUAGUUCACACACCUAUAUUGACAUUUAUUAAUGAGGGAAUUUUCAUGGAAACAGGUGCCAGCAGGUACAAAUCCAAGCAGCAUUACACCAGAGGUCAUUUUCUCAAAUCAGUUUCAUUAAGCCCAUUGAAACAUCUUCCAACCUUUUGCCACCAAUGACCCCACCAGCACUGGAAAGUAAUUAUUAACAUGCUGUGACAACCUUAACCUCUGUCAUCUGUCUCCACCACAUAACAGGGAGGCAAUUAACAGCUGCUCAUUACUGAUGAGGUGAAGCGACAAGUGCAUCUGCACAUCUGAAUGCACACACACAUCUAAAUGACAAUGACAGAUGUCGGCACACACACAUCCUCAUGCAUUUGACCAUGCACUAACGACUCACACACAUUACCAAGGAUGCCAUGGCACACAGAAUGCCCCCUGGUGCUCUCUGAGGGACACACUGCUUGUGUAGAAUUUAAUGAGGGAACAUGUACUCAUCCCUCCACCUCACUGGGAGAGCUGUUACCUUUUGGUGUGAUAAGAUAUUAAAAAUUCACACUGUUUCUGCAGCGCUUUGACUUGUACGGCGGCGGCGCGCUCAUUAGCAUUUAAAUGGGAAAAUGAUAACAGCACACUUCGCAGAGUCAUACCUCCAUUGCAAAGCUGGCAGACAGAGGGAAAAACUUGAAUCAGGUCCUGAAAACUUUGGCUGUUUUUAGAUACCUGAGAAGAGAAACAGUUACUCCAUAGUUCCAAUGUCCUAUUUUCCUGUUGUGCUUAAAAUAGAUUACAUUUUUUGAUUGAUUUAAGAUUAGACAUACAUAAAAGAAGAGGCUUGCAUUGUCACAGCUGGAGAAGCCUUAAAGUAUCUUACAUGCGAAUGAUAGUUUUUUCCCAUGAAUAAUCAAGUUAUAGAGAAAAAGUUCCAAAAGUUGUCUAAAGUGAAAUUUCUAACAUUGCUGACUCAGAAGUCAGACUCUUGUUGUUGGAGCAGUUCCCACUUUUCUCUAUAAACAUACCAAAACGUAAUUACCACUCUUGGAUUAUUUUAUUGAAAUAGAUACAGCAAUAUUUGUUUCUUAUUAUUUUAGUACAGCUAUGCCUUCAGGGGAACUCUAUACUCUGGACUUUUAUAUUCAGAACCUGCACUGGAAUUACUUACUGAACAGGAACUACAAAAAUAUUUGGGAUUUUUUCGCUAUUUCUGUUGGCUCAGUGGGAUGUGAGCAAUGUUGACUUUAACAAUUAAUAAAUCAACUGUUUAGUCCGCUCUGACGCUAAAACAACAGAUUCUCUGUGAGGCUAAUAAAUGCAGAGGCUGGUGGGCAUGAAAGCAGACAAAUAUUUAUGCUGUGAAGUAAAUUCUUUGCAGCGUGUACUUUUCUUCCUCUAUUUUGUUUCCUUUUGUAUAUAUCCUCCUCAUCGAGAGCUUUGCAUGUUGAACUCCUUGUCAUGUUUUCUGUUCAUUUUUGUUCCUCAGUCUUUUGUGACAGAAGCUGACUGUGACUCAGCCUGAACUCUGCAAAAGCUAAAAGUGGGACAGCUGUCUUCUUUAAAUGACACAACUUUGUCUCAUUGUAUGUGGCUCAUGUGUCUCCAGUCUGGGAAGAGGGGAGGGCAGCUGUGGAGGGGGUGAUUUGGUAUGAAUUAAAUCCGUUUCCUAACAGGCUCCACAGGGUCUGAUCCCGCUCCCUUCAUGUCUGGUGGACUCUAUAUCCGACAGUAUCAACCAGAAGGGAGCAUAUAUAUUACAUCUGCCCAUUUCCACUCUGCCUUUUAGUUCUUUGUUGUUAAAAGAAUCACAACAAUGACUUUGUGGCUGAAACCCUGCUGCCUCUGGUUGGUUUUAGUGUUUUCCCCAGGUAGUGUGGUGGACAUGGGCCUCCUAAGCGGUCAGGUCAAUCAGUGACAUUCUUCUGUGGGAUCUAGCUGCUGCUCUCCGGCUAGAAAGAGAGGGCAGAGACAGUGAGAGGAAAUGACUGUGCUUUUGUUUCACACUGCCCCUAAAGCAGUCAGCCUUUGCUGUUGAACUCAGCAUGAUGCAGUCAGUGGUCUGAUGGGGCAAUACAGGGGAUUUUUUUCUGUUGCCUAGGUCUUAAAUCAUUGGAAGAGAGUGAAACCCUCCUCGAUAUGUACAAAUUGUUGAUUAUUUUCUAGCCAAUUUUCCCCCAUUAUAUUGUUUUUCUGCUAGUGAAAGACACAGAAAAGGCUAAACGACACCACAGGCCUCUCUUCUUAUUUUUCUCUUUUUUUCCCCCACUUUUUCCCCCUCAUUUCCAUGUUUAUUGAUACUUUCAUUUGCUUGACAAUGCAGAUGUAGCAGUUGGUGUGUUCUGCACUUCGUCACUCCACAGAGGCAAUUAUGUCCGUAGCGUUUAUCUUGUAGGACUCUGUGAAAUGUAAAUGGACUAUGUUUAUAUAGCUCUUUCUUUAGUCUUCUGACCACUCAAAGUGCUAUUACAUGACAUGUCACAUUAACCCACUCACACCACAUUCACACGCCGAUGGCAGAGGCUACUAUAAAAAGCACCAUCAGAUUUAUAUAAGCCCAUUCACACACCGCUGAGUGCAAAUCUCCUUUAAUUUUCCCCAGAUUUUUUAUUCUACCUCAAAUUGCAUUCAAUUCUGUCUGUUUAGGUGGUUGGUGACUACAGUUUCAACCAGGAGUUCCCAAGUGUAAUAGAUUUUGAUACAUUUUAACAAAUUUUAAGUUAAAAAAAAUGUAAAAAAUGUCCAUGUAAGUGUAAACAUUGUUUUACUUGACUCACUCACCAGUGACAAUGUUCAGGAAACUCUGGUUUCAGUUGUCUUUGAGACAGUAUAAAAUAUGUCACCCUAUAACUAUUUAUUCAGGUUAUACCAUUUAACUCAUUUUGAGGUGAGCUCAGAGUGAGAAUCAACUUUAUUGGCCAAGAAUGUGUGUACAUACAAAGAAUUUGACACAGGUAAACUUUCCUCUCGAUGUACAAACAUUUAACACUGACAUGAAAUAUUGCAAAAUCACAAAAAAAUAAAAAAUAUAUAUGUACAAGUUUGCACAAGACAUAUAAAGGGCUAUUCUGGCGUUAAUAUAAGUUAGGGUCAAACACACUGUAACACCGAAUUAGACACCCCCUCGAGAGAUAAAUGUUGCAGACUGCUUGCUUCUCUAGUUAUACCAACUUCAGCAACGACCUCAACCAAAAAGCCACUCGUAGCCACAAAUAAUGCUCAGAACAGCACCUAACUUCAUCAACAGUACAUAUAGGGUUCCAGCCAUAGUAUUAACCACCAAACAUCUUUUUAGCUUUGCCUAAUUUCUUAAGCAAGACACUAAACACAGCUCACCCACUCCCCUCCAGCAGCCGCUUGUUUGUGGGGGAGCCCUGAUGAGUCAGUCACCGAGUGCAGCGGAAAAUUUAUUAUUAUUACUUUAUGGAAAUGCAAUCAGACUGAGAUGCUAAGGCAGAAGAACUACCGCGUCUGCAGUGCACAUACAAGAUACACAAGAACUCUGAUUGCAUUUUACGUUAGUUAAAAAUCAUAAAUUUUCUUCCUUGAGCUGUGAAACUCCACUGCACUCUGUGAUCAAUUGCUACCAUGCAUUCAUUGCUAAAGUUGGUUAGUAGAAGCAAGCAGUCUGCAACACUCAUCUCUCGAGGGGGUGUUUAACUCUGUGUUACGUUUUACCAGAACUUAAUUUUAUGCUAGAAUAUCCCUUUAACUUAUACAAGGCUAUUAUGGCAGUAGUGCAAUAGUGAGAAGUGCAGUGGAGUGAUUGAAAAAUUAAUACAUGUCAUUAUGUUGCAGGUAGGUUAUGUGAAUAAGGUAUAUGUUGUUUAAAAUACAAUAUUAACAUUAAAAAUUGAUAUUUAGUAGUAUUUGUAAGAGUCUUGUUCUCUACAGCAGAGCUGCUAGCCCGGCUGCAGAUUCUUGUUUCCACUCAACCUAACAAGAAGAAUGUGUCAGCUCAUUAAGUGUUGAAAGUUUUGAAUGUAUACUCAUUUUAAAAAUACACUUUUAUGAUGCCCUGUCUUUAAUUUACCCUACUUCUGCAGCUACUCUAGUUAAAGUCUGCCGAGUCCCUUGUCCUUCACCCUUAUCCUCGCUUCUACUCCCCCCCCUCUCCACAUCUCAUCCUCCUGUCAUCACUCGUUCUGAUGAGGCUGCGAAACAGGUGGCUUGAGAAUUCAAAAUGUCUAGGAGAGACAGGACCCAAACAGUUGCGUAUCUGUGCGAGAGGGGAAUAGAGGUAGAUUUUGACGGCAUGUGUCAAGUUAUGAAAGACAGAAGAAAAGAAGGGGCCACACAGAAAAACUGACAGCACACCAAAUUUGGUUACACUGUAUGCUUUUACUGAUUAUCUCUUCCACAUUCCUUUGAGCUCUGCCCCAAAGUUGUUUUAGAUUUGCCUCUCUGCCUGUUUCCAGAACAUACGUGAAUUGAAUUAAAGUUAAUGAAACCCAUCUUGAUUCAACCCUGGGUUCUAAAGUAUCACAGAUGGGAGAGCUGGAAGCAGUGACAGAUUGGAUAAUUUACACAAGACAAAAGCAGUCAUGACUGGGGCAAUGUGAAACUCAGUUGAAACACAUACAGUGAUGCAAAGAAACGCUCUUGAUGUAACAUGAACAAUAACCAAAAAGAAGAAUUUUCUCAGCUUCACACAAUAAGAGUAAAUCUGCCUGGACAUCUGUUCCAGCAGCAGUUGUGUUGUGAGACAUCCUGUAUAAGUUGUCUGGAGACAGUGUGGCACAUCAACCACAUACUCUAAACUACCUCUUUUCUCUGUGGCUUAGCUCUCAAUUUAAUUAACUGUGAAAAUGUUGUUGGAGGGAUGUCACAACUGUUGGUGGAUCCCCCAGUCAAUCCCAGAAGAAAGUCCCACAGUCUUAUCACCCUCGGCUUUCCCAUCAGCACUCCCUCAGCCAAACACUCAAGUUACCAAUCAGUCCUGCACAUUUCACAGAAUUUCUGUUCACAGGGUUGUUGUGUUGUAAGCGAGCCAUCUUUCAAAUUAUGGCUUUGUUUUGUGUCAGCUGUGGCACAUUUAGAUUUGGCAGUAAAAGGAAAACACGCUGUUAAAGCACUCUUUGAUUUAAAUUCUGGCUCAAAAUGGAGGAUACGGCAAUCAAUUAACUUAUUAUAAUAGAUUGUGAAACUUAAAGCAAAAUGCUUUUUCUUGACAAUAUUACUUAACCAUCAUACUCCCUGCUAUAACCGCAUGUUGACAGCUUUAUGGUAAAUCACUGGGGACUAAGGCCAGCCUCAGACUGGCACAUCUGGCUCCUUAUUCGGCAGUAAAAAGCAAAAACCUCAGUUGAGUCUGUUGUGCCAGCAGUUGACGGCCAAAGUAAGCUAAUCUCAUCUUGUUCUCUGUGUGAAUUUGACUCUGAAAGUUGCAUUUCAUGUUCGGAGCUGCUGCUGACUAUUGUAAGGCAAUGGGCUGAGACAGUUUUGAGUAUAUUUGUCAAUUUUGGAAUGAAGAUUCCUUCUCUAUGUUGCUUUAAACCCACACAGAGGAGUCGAAUAUAUUAUCGCCCCUGACCACAUGGACACUAGCUUUCAUGUUGUGCAAUAACUACUUGAAAAAUUGGGUAAUACUGGUGGAGCAAGAAUCCCAGUUCCCACAUGUCUCUUCUCUACCAGCUCAUACAUAUGCAGUGUUUCAUUGUUUCUGAUCCAGUCUCUAAAUCAAAGAUUUUUAAAGAUGCUUGGCAGAAGUUGCACAACCUUGCAGCGAAAUGUGUUUCUGAUAAACAGGUUGAGUCAGUUAAAAAGACCUAGCUAUUCCAGCAGUUUUAUUCUGGUUGUAUGAUGGCUGAUAGCCCGUGAAUAAAUUCCACAUUAGCACAUCCACUUGAAAGCGAAGUUGACAGAUUCAGCUUUUGAAUAAAUACUCUCGCCUCCACCACAAACGAAGGGCAUUUUUUUGUUUUGUUUUUGCUGUUGCACAAUGUAAACUGUUCAGCAUCUUCUAUGUUUCAGUGUUGUACAGCUGUGCUGUAACGCUUAGUUGACAAGCUCAUUUCCAAACUAAAAGGAGCUGCUAACACAAACAAUACUGUACCGUACAAUGCUGGGUGACAGAAGCAGUUGACAAGCUUGUGCUGCGUUUGACAGGUCUCAACAUCACUUCCUUUUUUGAGACAUUUUAACAGACAUUCUGAGCAGCUCACACUCCACAUGCGCACACACUCACACACCGUCCCACUCACUCUAUACGUAAACCAGCAACACAUGUAGCCAGCAACCUGACUGGAACAGAAGAGGCGAUUAGACAGACAGCCCAGGGAGGGGUGGCGCCUGUCAUGUGGAAUGGAUCUCAUUAAAAGUAUGCCCCAGGUCACACUUUGAUGGACAGGGAGACGUCAGUCAUCUGCCAGCUAGAUUAGCAGAUACCAAAGCCCCCGUUCUUCCUCUCUGCCCCUUGAGAGCCCACAGCAUACCAAGUGGGUCCAGGCAGACUCUUAUGAGUGCCCCGCAGCCUCCGUCAAACCUCUCACCUCUGGCUUGCCAAUCACAGAAACAAACGAACACAUCCACCUCAAAUCUCACAGGAAAAAUCCACCUGCUGUGUCCAAAGGCAGGUGGUAGCAAACUUUUUCUUUUCCACCUUUUCCCUUGUGAAUGCUGGGGCUUUUUCAGUCUCAAAGGCUAGAGGCUCUGCUGAGAGUUGAAUGCACUCGUGUCUAAACCUGAUACCAUGAUUGACGAGCCGCGCUACUAAAAUCUAGAGUUUUCUCACAGAAUCAACAAAUGAAGAUCACCAGAAAUAGCAGUGAGAAAUAAAAAAGUUUAGGUAGGAAUCACAGUUCUUUCUGCACUUUUGAAUCAACUUAAAAACUCAAAAAUCAAAUUUCAAAGGUCAGAUGUGUAUCUUGGUGCCUGCAAAUGGAAUUGGGUUGACGGUAUUCACCCUUUUGUUGUAUUCACAAUGUUGUAAGUCCAAUUUUUCUGAAAGCUCAGAGUUCACCACAUGGAGUUUUGUUCCUCCAAUAGGAGAACAACGAUUAAUCUCUUGGCGUCUUUGCAAUUGUUGCCGAGCUACAUUGCCCCAAAAUUUUACCACUUGAAACACUAAGCCUUUUUUUUUUUAACCUGACUUCAUGACACUUACUUAAUGAUUAUAAAAUUCCAUUUGAAAGCAGCAUAAUGAUAGGAGAGCUAGUGUUGGGACAAUAAAAGGUUUGGAAAGGUUGGGAUAAUAAAAUUGUAAGAAAAAAAUGGUAAGAGGGUUUAAGCUGGUUUUAAACAUUCAUAAAAUGUUUUUGAUUUCCUGUUGUGCGCCUGGUUCAUGGAAUAAUCUUCAAAAAGAUCAAACUGGACACAUUCAUACCUGAGGCUUUUUGAAAAAGAAAUGAAUUGACAGUAAAAAAAAAAAGUCAAAUAAAAUGAAAUUUGUACUCUGGGAUUUAAUGCUACCACCAUGGAGAGUACUUUCAAGCCUUUUCCCCUCUCUUUCUUUUUUUCAGCGUUGUUGUCUUUCAGGAAAAGGACACGCACUGUAAUCAGUGACCUACUGUUUAUCCCAGCAUUCCCAAGAGUUCAUGUCUCCAGCAAUAGACCUGUGGCAUGAUGCCCAGGACAGGGGCUGGGGUUGGCUCACUUUGACAAGCAUGCUAGUCAAGGCUGUGCUAGCUUCCCUCAAAGCAGAUCAGGAUUCCCAACAAUGUCCGACAUGCAGCCUGAUGUAAUACCGAGUCCAUUUGACUUGCAUCUAAAUCUGGGGCUGGUAAAAUUGAGGAAAAGAUUUGGCAAAAGAUAGAAGUAAUUCUGGUUAUUUUCAGAGCUGAGGAUGGGCUUGAGGAAAUGCGUCAGGGGUUAAUACCCCUCAUCAGCAUUUUGAUUUGUCACAAGUGGUGCAGAUAUAUGAAGUAUCCCAAAUUGAAUCCAUACUGGAAUCUAACCAGCAUGCGGUGUGUCAUGCUUCGUGCAUCCAUGCCACGAAAGGCCAAAGGUAGUCAAGACAGAUACGAGGAGAUGUCAUCUUCAUCCUCUGCCGAGCUGCUUCCUUGAAGAUUAUCACUGGAGCAUGCACAAGUGUGAAAAAACACCAACAACAAACCUUUUCGUGUGACACUCAGAGUUUGGGGUUUGGUCUGUAUCUGCUCCAGUUUAUAGUGCUUUAUGAAUUCAUCCAAAGCUUAGAGAGGUUGGAAAUGACAAAAGGUUCACCUUAGCUUUGAUACAAUAUGCAACCGAACUGCAAAGAAUCAAAAUGAAGCUCCUAAGCAUUGUUCGAAUAAGUUUAUUUUUGUCUAAAACUUAAAAAUGCUUCAAGAACAUACAUAUGUCUUGUUUGCUAAAUUACUUAACUUGAAAUGAUAUGCCUUAGCAACAGCAACACUAUUACUGUCUCCACACACCAAGCGCAAGUACAAUCAUUUGCGCGAAUGAAUUAUAUGUUAAGUCAAUGCAAAGACGCGAUUAGACACUUCUCCUACUCUGGCGGUGCGAAUGACGUGAAUUGGGCGGGAGCUGAAAAUGUCUCAACUUGAGCGGAUAUUUGUGUCCCGAUAACUAAUCAGCAUGAAGGUUGCUAGGUGACGUAUGAGAACGGACGGUUGUUUACUGGUAUCUAAAAUGGCGGACAAACUGAUUGUGUCGGUGUUUGGGUGCCCCAAAUGAUAUUAUACCUUUUCUUUCAAUUACCAAAACCGUAAUAAAUAGGAGCUCGCCUUACCUGGUAAAUUGUAAAAAUCCUUUGUCUAUCACUUGAUCCCACUGGUUAAAUUGGCAGGGAUUACUGUUGAAAUUACCAUUGACGUGCGAAUGAAGCAAGUAAAUACAAUUCAUUCACGCGUCUAGAUUCGUGCGAAUUAAGUGAGUAAAUGAUUUUACUCGCGCUUGGUGUGAACGCCCCAUUACAGUUAACAAAAAUCAGUGUUGGUAGUCUGUGGUUUGAUAUCAUGUAAGAAUAUAUGAUCAAAUACGUAAUUUUAUUUCCACAUAAAAACAGUAAUACAACUCCUUAAUUUGAAUAAUUUGAGUGUAAAGGUCAAUCCUCAGUAUAAUGAUAAAAACUGAGUGCUGGAAUUAAAUAAAGGCUGGUUCAUACUUAGUCUUUUAUGAGAAUCAGCAGAUAUGUGUUUUGCAUUGAUUCAAGACCACCUGGGGAAAAUAAAGGCCUUUAAGUCUUUGUCACAUUGACUCAGGAGUCAGAGGUUCUCAGCAGUUGUAUGUGAUAUUAGCGGUCUAUUCCUGAAGGAUUGUGACUUUUGGACGUAUUGGCAAUAUGAGCUCCCGCAAAAUGCCGUUCUGGGACUUCCCUCCUGAGAUACAUAGGACCUGGGUCACUGGGCUCUGACACGACCCUUCACCCCUCCAGUACUUACUUUCCAAACUGAUGUUAUGUAAGCUGAUACGUAUGGGAAAUGUUAAGUGGCAUGUGUUGCUUUGUUGUUUGCUUUGAAAUGACUCGGGGACAUGAAGAAGAUUGUUAAUUUGUGUAGAACAUGGUAAUCAAUUUGUUGUGGUUCGAAGCAUAAUGUGGAUUAAAUUCAAAUGAGAUCCAUCAGGGGCUGAGAUGCCUGAGGAAUCUUAGUUCUCUCUGCGCUGCCUGUACAAAAUUAGAUGAGGACAACAAGAGGGUUGAACACAAUGCAGCAGGAAUCACAAUGCAUUUACUAAUCCCUUCCUGAAAACAGUAGGGGAAACCCCCACAUGUAGCUCACCCUGAGGCUACCGCAUUCAAAUUUCUUUGGUUUACUCUGGACUGACAUGCAAGCAAUAAGGUUUUCAGGGGGGUUGGUGGAAACCUCUAUUCUUCAAACAAUGACUGCCAGAGUUGUAAAUGUCAGGAAACCAUUAUUUGACUAGCUGGAUGAAUAAGGUAGACAGCUUUUUUUUUUUUCUUUUUUAACCAAACCAACAGUCUAGCUUGCAUCACAGUUAGGGCUGUACGAUAUGGGAAAAAGUUUAUCACAAUAUAUAUUUUUUUCAUAUCAGUCGAUGUCGAUAUCAUGAUAUUAAAAAUGAAAUUAAACAGUGCUUAUUGGUAGCAUGUCUUUUGCAAUACAAUAAGAUACUGCAUCUAUGAGGUCUUUAUGUCUCUUUGAUGUUUUGUCGUGAGGCAUCGGGAUAGAGAAAGCGGACUGAUUUUAAAAAGUAUUCGAAGUCAACAAUGGUCAGCAGGUUUGCAUAAACUUAAGAAAGCAUAGGCAUCCACCUGCAGGCAGUAUAAGACAGGAAAAUGAGGAAGAUUGUGUCAUGUGCCUAUAAGCUGAAAAUCUGUCUUCAUAGAAAUACUCUUAAAGCAUUAGUACACAAUGGCAUUAUUUAGAUUGAAGUACCACACUUAAUUUUCUUAUUUAUAUAAAAUAUGCCAUGGUAAAUUCUCAGGAACAAAAUGUGAAAUGCCAACAGUGAAAAAAAGUCUGUCAUCUGAUUCCUCUAAGGUGUUAAGUGUUGUUUUCUUCACUGCAUAGAUAAUAACACAUUUUAGGUAUAGCAGUGAUUUAAACAGCAUGAUACUGCCAAAUUCAUUCAGCAUGUAAUUUUUUUUCCUGGUGCUAAUAGAUACUCAGCUGGACUAUCUGCAUCUGCAUCUUUUUCUCAUUAAAAAUAGCUGGGGAGCCUGCAUGCAUUCACAGCAGCCGGAGAAAGCCAGGGAGCGAUCGAGUAAUCAAGCUUCUGCUUCUCGCAGGUUGUUGCCUCACUCGCGUUUCCCUCAUUUGACUGUCACUCAGCGAGAUACCACUUUCAGCCUCACCCUUUAAUCAUCUGUCAUCCCUGCUAAUGCAAAGCGACUGGCAGCGCUGUGUAGGAAAUCAGCCACAUCUUUAGUGUCACUUCUCGUUAACAUAGAGAAUCAGGUAAGAGAGGGGGGUACUUAGUUACUGUAUCCACAGAGACCUAAAAGGCUAAACCUCUAAUAGUGAAUACCUCUACUUUCUUGAAACUGCAUCUUAACUUCUAGUUAUUUUGCGUAGGAUGGCAUUUUCUUAAGCCUGUAGUGAUGUCCUAGAUGUGACAGUUUGUGCCUUUGGCAGCUUUGUAAUUGGAUCGUUUUCUUGACACUUCAUAGCGUUACACAGAGACGGUUCCUGCACCUUCACCAGUCUUUUGCACAUCAUUCUUUUCAUUCACACAGCUGGGGGAGCUCUCUGCCUCACCCACAUACAGUUCCCAGGCACAGCUGUGCUCACUUGCCUGCUGGUGGGUACAGUUUUUAAUAUUAAUGAUGCUUUAGCCGAUUCAGUCCUGACACUCACCUGCAGUGCAGUGUACUGGAUGAGCAAAAGAGGAAAGGAGGCAAACCUCAUUUAUGCCUGACAGCACCCUAUGGAGGGAGAUCUGAUGAAACGCUGAUGUUUCUCCCCGUCUUUCCCUCAUGUAUGCCAUUCCUCAGUCAGCUGCAUGUCUGAGCAGCAGGGCGCAAGUGGGGCUACAGUGUUUAAAUCCAUACUGGCCAGUUUUAUCUUGCUGUCCCACCUGAGUUCCAUUGCUACGGCCACAUAAACCACAGACAUAAUAAAAAAGCAACAAACACAUAGGAUUCCAUGAACCACUGCUUGUUGUUUUGCUGUAGAAGCAGUUUCCUGCCGAGAAUGACGUGCCACAAAAGGAAAAUGACAGGUGGAAGUUAUAAAGUGGGCGAUGGCUGAAUUCCAUGUAGCUGCUCCUGCUGGUAUUGUGUAUGGUGGCUCACUGUCACUCUGUCAUGGCUUGCUGGGAUGCUUUCAUAGGGCACUGACAUUGUUAAUGUUAUUUAUAACGACUGUGUCUUUCCUACUAUUUCACCUUACAAUGGGGUUGUGUUUGCUUAUGUUUUCAGAGGUAGAAGGGCUGCAAAAAUACAUUCUUGGAAGGUGGUAAAUUGGGAGUUUAGUUACCUAAUGUUUAAAAUAAGGCACUCUUGCUCAGCUGGUUAAAUGAAUAAUUCAUAUUUUCAUUAAUGAAGGCUCCAAAUGAUGUGUCUUAACUGUAGUAGACAGCCAUCAUUACCCAGAGUUGUAUUUUUGGUUAUAGGUAACUGCCAUAAUGCCAUAAUACUGAGCUACCUGAAUCUGAACAAACUUGUUGAUGACAUCUAAUAGCUCAGUGCAUCCAGCAGUAUUUGGGAGUAUUAUUUGAUUCUGAAAAUGAAGAUAAAGUUUCAUAUAGUCUGGUUAAACUGACACAUCACCACCUGACCCCAGCAAUUUGAAACCAGCACCAACAUGCAGACAUAAACCUGCAAGAUGGAUGGUAUUUGCUCUGCUAACCUCAACCACACUUGGCAAAGCAAUCUAAUUAUUACUGGUAGACUCUGUGAUCCUUUUUAGCCAUACCUGAUCAAUUGUGCUCAGUUAUAGCAUUAAAAAAAUCUUAGUUUGAGACGAGUCAGUCUGACUUUAAAUUCCCGUUUUAACAACUAGGACAUUAGUCACUUUGGAGAAUCCAUGUUGGUAAAGCUGUCAUACAGAAUCCUUAUUUCUCUUUUUCCUGUUUCCCUAUAUUUAGCACUCACUAAAAAAGCUCUCAAACUAACUUUUUUCUGUCUUACUUGGUUCUUAAGAUUUGAACUGUAAUCAUGUUGCUGUGAAAAAGGCCAAGUAACCAAUCGACAAACCACUUAAAUUAAAAUAAAGAGAGGAAAUUUUGCGUAUGUCCUUUUCAGCCACUUAGAAAAGUAUUUUCCAGUCUCUUCUAUUGACAGGGUCACAGAAUUUUCCUGUUGUUAAAAAACCCUCUCAAGUCAGUAUGGAACUUUUUUGUUUUUUAUGAUGUGACAGUGAUAUUGUUGAGGUUUUGUUGGGUUUAGACACAAACAUGACUUGGUAAACCUAGAGGAGAGAUUUAAAUAAAUACUUAGUUAAGUUAGAGGAAACAUUGUGGUUUGUGUGAAAAUGACUACUCCGUUAGGGUUUAGGAAAAUUUGUUGUCCUUGUAAGGAUGAUAAAUACAUGGUCAUGGUUAAAAAUGAUUGCGGUUAUAAAGAAAAAAAGAAAAACAACUAUAACUGUCCACAGGAGAAGGGAAACAAAUAGCUGUCCAGUGUGUUAACGUAUGUUUAUUGACUCAUCUAACUCUAGUAAACUCAGUGGACUGUCAUCACCUUCAUCUACCUUUUACUCCAGAUUAAAAGGAGCCCUAAUUCUUUUUACUGAAACUUGCAUUAUUGGAGAUAUUUCUAUGAUUCAACUGAUUCUGUCGGGAAAAGUCUGGCGAUAGAUCUGCCACUAUCUUAUUCUUUCCUCUGCCACACAUCUGCAAGUUUGUCUGAACCUAUCUAGCACAAUAAACUCUGACCGUGCAACCCCCACAUGCAAUCCAUCAGCACACCAUGCUUUUCUAACUCCAACCCACGGGCAUGACAUUAUCGUUGCCCUACAUAUUAGACUGGUCAUGCUCUGAAUUGGGGUUAUCCCUGCACCCACUUCAGCAGACCACCCUCUGGUUGUGUCUCCUUAAGUGCACAAACAACCCAACCCCACUGUUAGGGCAACACAGCUUUGUACAAUGGGGGUGUUUAAACCAUUGUGGAUUCAUCCCUGCUGGUACAAAGGAUCAAUGUUUUAUUUGAUAGCUGGUCAGGGAUCGCAUCAAAGAAUUUCUUCAAAUCUGAGACUUUUUUCAGCUGAAAAAAAUUAAAGUUAGACAUCACUUUAUCAGUACUCCUUCACUGUUUUUGUCCUGGUGAACCAGUUGACCUUACGUGUGAGUGAGUGUGGUUGUAAUGAUAUUCUCUUAAUCCUGCUGCAACUUAAUCUACAAUCAACACUGAGCAGUGUUGCCAGAUGGGAAAUAUAGAAUUAUCGUACCAGAGACUCAAAAUUAUCGUAUUUUGGGGAAUAUUAACCAAAAUAACAAUCUUAUUGUUGCAUGAUAGUCAUAUAUAGUCACUCUGUUUAGUGUCCUAAAGACACUCACAGUUUUGUGGCUACAGUUUUGUGGUCAUUCACCACCCCACCCCACAUCAGCAGCAUAUGAUCAGCAGCUCCAACUCAGCUGUGUUACACUAAUGCAUCCCCUUUUAAACAAAUGACAGGUAGGAACUAAUGAGCCAAAUCAUGAGACCUUGAGGUCACCUACUUUUUUGAAACAGUAUUCAUAAUAACUGACAAGGAAAUAAAGAGUAAUCUGACUUAGUAAAAUCUAUUUUAGACAAAAAAAAUCAAUCUCGCACGAGGAUUUGGCUCCCGUUCAUCCUGGUCCUCUUCGGAGGCACUCAUUUUUCUCAACUGCCUAACAGACUGAGCAUGAUUGACAGCCAAUCAUGAAGACACAGUCACUCAAACUAGGACUGAAUGGAAACGUCACGUGAUAAAAGAUGCGGUCAGGGUUCGCAAAUAAAAAACUGAAAAAUAAAGUGUCUAGCAGACUGAGACAGUCCUAUUGCACCACAUGUUGACGAAACUGUCAAAUUAUUGUACAUUCAGCCUUUUUUCUGGGUUAUUGAUCGAACAGAGGGAAAAAAUGUCAUACAAAUACAAUAAUUAUUGUACACCUGGCAACCCUGACACUGAACUUGCAGAAAACAUAAAUCAUACAAAAUGAAAAUACGUUUUAGGACAUAAUAGUAUUUUUUAACAGAGAAUGGAUCAUCAUUAUUUACUUGAAGCUUAUUCAGCCGUUGAACAUCUUUACAAGACAACGGAGACUGCACCAUGUUUUCCUGCGUGUCCUUUUUAUGUAUUGAAUUAUUCAGAGGUGUGGUGAUAAUACGAUUCUGCAGAGGACAGGGCUACCUACAGCCUGAGUGUGAAGCGUGAGGACGUCACUGACCAGAGGCAGCUGACACGUCCUGUCACUGUGACCUGGCACUGUCCUGCCUUUCCACACACACAGCUAAGCCUGAGUGCAAUCACAGCCAAAGUCCUACGCUUCACAGCCAGCACAGGAAGCACAGCUUACAACAUAUACACACUCAUACACACACAAACACAUGCUCUAGGAUACACAUGCAGGAUGGUAGCUUGUCAGUUCCCCAAACUCUGUCCUCUUGAUAGGAGUACUCUCACCUGUAGUGUUUCCAUGGAGACCAGGCACACUAAUGAGGUAGUGUGUGUUUUUGUGUGUUAAUACUUGUGUGUGUGUGUGUGUGUGUGUUUACAAACGGCGAGGGCAGGUGUCAUUAGGUAGAGGCAGGUGAUGGGAAGCAGCGUGGGCUAUCUCGUGUAGCAGAGAGGCUAGAGAGGCUCAUCCCUUUCAUAUCAAAAAUCCUACAACCAAAAGUUCAUAUUGCAUUUGUCCAUGCAUGAGCUAGCUUCCCGAAUGAUGAACUGAAAGAUAUCAGCUCGUCUUGGAAGACGAGGAGUAUCAUUUAUUACUGCCAUGUGUGAGUAAUGAAUCAUAAGGUUGUGUGUCCAGAGAGGCGGGAUAAAGGAAGGAAACUGUGCAAACAUGUGAACCUGCAGCCAAUUAAGAGUGGAGAAGAAGCAGAUGGCUCGUUUGGCUGCUAAAGUAGGAUUUUCACCGACUUCCAUGACCUUGACGACGAGCUGUCAACAAGCAAACACCUCAAACUUUUGAUUGGUCUCGAGAGACAUCUAUAAAUAAAAAAUCCAAUUUAUGGCAAAAGUCAAACAAAAACAGAAGGUGUCAUAACCAACAGCAGAACUUUGUAAGCAACUAAAGUAGCAUAUUAACAGCGACAUAUAUAAAGAGCUUUUGUUUUUGUUGGGGUGUAGACUGCAGUAGAUUUCAAAACUCGUGAUUCAGAUCAUUUACCGGUUUUGAGUCAUGAGUCAGAUCAGCUGGAAAACAUGGAGAAUUAUUACUGUAACAUCUCCACCUCCCUUCCAACUAUAACCACCAAUCUGCUUUACAGUGCACUUUUAUUUAUGAUGCUUCUGCUCCAUCAUGCGUGUUAGUAUUAUAUAGCUUCUCCAAUCCGUUAUGCUACAGUCGAGUUGUUGAGUUAAUUUACUGGAGCCAUUCCUGGCACACCAAAGUAAGCUAUAUAAUUCAUUUACAUUUGUAGUUCCUGGGAAGAAAGACCUACAAUCAUACUUAAUACUACCACAAAAUACCACAAAAAUACAAGCAGUCUGAUAAAUCCCUGUUCAUUCAGAAAGUACUUUACAUAAAUCCAAAGUCCACAAGGCUGUACUUCCAUAAACUGCUUCAUUUCAGUGCUAGUAUCCAUACGAUCUCCACCUUAGUUGUUAGAAGCAGAGACUUUCUUGUAAUUGUAAUGCAUGUACCUUUGCACUUCCUUUACCUGUGCGAUUUGAAUGUCACAGUGUUGUUGUCCGUGCAGUCGUGCUCUGACAAGGGCACGAGUUUGUCACCUACAGGUGUUGACGGUGACAUGUGGCUGUGGAUUAGCAGAGCGGAUCAAUGGAUUUAGGAAACACAUGUUUAUCAAGUGUCCUCUGGAGAAUUUGUCGAGAAUAGUGUUAGGUUGAUGGCUAACUGUAACAACGGCUCUUAGUCGUCUUUUGGUCCAGGUGUAGAUGAGGCUUCUCUGCUUUAAUCUAACUUUACUGUAGAGAAAAAUCAAGAGGUCAUCAAUUACGCUGCUGUCGUCCCGGUCAAGUGGUUACAGAGGCCGCUAUUCCUGGCUGAUUUCCUCUGAAUCAUUUAAAAUAACAACAGUCACACUUUUUAAUUAGCUGCAGUGAGACUAUUGAUUCUUGUUUUGUUAUUUUUGACCAGCUGUACAUUCUCAGACAGGCUGUUUGCACAUUCUACACCUUUUCCUGAAACUCUUGUAAUCAAAACCUCCACAUCAGCUUUGCCAUCUGGGAAAUUGAGGCCCUCUUCCAGACCAGGAUGACAGACCCCAGGUGCAACAGCCAAAACACUACAAACCAUAUCUCCUAUAUGUGAAAAAAAAGUGUCUUUUCAGUUCAAUUCAAUGAGAUUGUAUGUGUGUAAGUGUGGAAUGAACUUCCCCUUUCCCAGUCUGUCAGACACCCAUAGGACUUGUGCUCAAUAAACUCUCUGCCCUUUGCACUUUAAAGGAAGUCCAUCUGCUCUGGAGAGUGUUGUGCAGCCUCCAGGCAGCUUGUGCGAUGCGUGCGGACUGUAUGCUUCAGCACUGAUGGCUGUGCAGAGAUUUCCUCUUCCUUAGCAGCACGGUCUUCCUUUCCAGAUCCACUCAGGCUCUGUGACAUGUUUAGCAUUGCUGUAUAAUGGAUGUCUGAGGCGCUGCAACAAGAAGCUUCAGGUAAAGGUCAUUAGACCUCAAGGGGGAUAAGCAACAGCUGAGGCAAAGGGUUGACCUCAUCCACAUCUGCUAGGCCACUUAAUAGUCUAUUUCUGCUUAAAAACACGAGAACAAGUAUCGUAAUUUUUGCAUUGUCUAAAACGUAGAUACCUAUUUAAAUCUUUUCUUCAUUACAGUUCACGGUUUCUUGGUUAUUGCCACUGUACAGGUCAGCACAGUUAAUUAUUUCCUUUAUACCAUUUUCUGUUUAUACACAAGUUUUGUGUUUAUGGCACAUUGCUCUACAGGGAACAAAUGUUCACAAUAAUUGCCUCACACUUGAUGCCCAGCAACUGCAACGCAGGAAAUGUAGGCAGCUUAACGUGUCUGUCAGCGUGGUGGCAUAUUAUUUGAUACUCCUAGCAUCCCAUAAUCCUCCUGGAUCAUCAGCACACAGGCUGGUGGGGAAAGAGUAGCAGCAGAGAUGGCUGGUGUUGGCAUACUGGAGCCUGUCAGUGUGCUUUUGUCGUACAUUUGACUCUGAAACAUGUCAAGAAUCUCUUCCUUCGUAACUACUGUGACAAAAUGGCAUUAAUGUUUGAACAUCUGUAUUACAUUUGCUUUCUGUCAUUUGUUUGCAGAAAAAUUGUACAGCAAUGAAGAUAUCUCACACUGAAAUAUGAUAAUGAGGGACUAUACUGUGGUCUGUAUUACAAAUGAUGAGAACAGGUGGAAAAUUGUAUUUAUUUUACCAUGCAGCUUUGCUCUUAGGGGAAAAGAAAACCUGGUAUGUGUUUAAAAGGCUUCACCUACACCAAACAUCUAUUUGGGAUCCCUGUAUUAAAAAUAUAAUAUAUGCUGGCAAAUAUAAAAAAAUAAGUAUGCUGACUUAUUUCACCACAGGUCUGCUCUCCUCUUUUUCCUUAAUUCCAAAGAAAAUAACACCAUAAAUCAAACCCUAAUGAGCUGCCUCAUGCAUUUUAAAGAGAUCACAAAUGGCAUUGUUCGACUAUUCACUGCCUUUUUGGCCUCAAUGUCAAAGAUUAAUGGGAUUAUUAUGGGUCUGUGUAGACUAAAUAGCCUGUCAAUACCAAAUUAAGCUGGAUGGCCACACCAGUGUAAGCUUGUUAUUUUUGUUUUGUCCUAAUCAGCCAUAAAAUGUCAGAGCAAAUACUAAAUUAUCAAAAUAGUUAUUAUUUAUAACUUUUGGCAGCAAGACCUGGUUAGCAAAUAGGCCCAGUCAUGGCAUUGCCUUAAUCUCUGCCAAUGUAAUUAUAAAUUAUAAUUAUCUACCAAUCUAAUCUUAAAGGUGGUGAAUUCAUUCAUAAAUUGAAAGGGUUUAAAACAACAAUUAUUUAUUAAUAUUGUUUAUUAACAACAAUAUAAUUGUCGUAUACGGUAGAUGUGACCUACAGGUUGUAUCCACUAAUACUAUAAAAUUGCCCCAAAUAUUGUAUGCUUUAAUGUCAUAUGGUUAUUAUUACAAAUCUCUAUCUUCUAUGUGCAAGAAUUGAACAGUUUGCUCUUGUUUGUAUCAAAAUAAGUUACUCUCACUUAUACUUGCAUCAAAAUAACAAGAAGCCAGUUUGUUUGGAUUGAAGAGAACCCCCUUGUUUCCUCAAGUUGAACUGCUGUUUUAGCGCCAUUCUGACUUAUUAGGAAAGACAGAACAGUUUCACAGCCAUCAAGCUUAAAGGAUACUUUCAUGGGGGGGAAGGUGACGAGUUUAAAUGCACUCCAAUCCCCUGCACAUGUGUGAUGAAAUGUAUCACUGCGGGAAGAGAACUGUCAACCUGUGUCAGAAUUAAUCAACCUUAGUGACACAGACCCGGGAACCCACACACAUAAAUCUGCACGUGCAUGAAAUUCAAACAAAAUACCUUCCCUCUAUGUGUUGAUGGAACUAAGUGUGGACUGGAAAUCCAAAUGACAAAACUGCCAAGGUAGCUACACAGUUUGUGUUCACAUAAAUGUAAAAUUGCACUGAAAGAGUCUCUGAAACCAGCUCAAACUGAGGGACAUCAGUGUUAAGCGUCGCUCUUUAAGUGCACUGGCUGCAGUUUAAAGGAGAGUGAUAUUCUUUUGGAAGUGUUUACAGCUGUACUGACUUCUCUCCCUGCGCACUGAAGCGCUCUGAUUACAGUCCUCCACAUACUGUCCGUGCUCACUCCACACGCUUCAAACAUGAUGCUCCAUUCACACAGGGCCUAUGAGCUGAAAGAAUAACAGCCACAGCUGCUGCGGUGUCAUCAGAAGCUCAUUCAGCAGCAUGAGGUCAAAGGUCAAAUACAGCUGUCAGCUGAGUUCAUGUUUACACAGCUAGACUAGAUCAUCAGAUUUGUAUAAAACAAAAGUAAUAAACAUCAACAAGGUAUAGUAGAUUAAAAGGGAAAUGCAUAUUGGGUACUGGACAAGACAUCAUCAUAUCCAGGUAUGUGGUUGAAUACAGUGAAGUCUGCAAAAAUAUACAAUAUUUGAAUUUUAAUGGUGUUUUGGGUAUAUCUGUGUAUCCCCACAUGAGGAUUCACUGCCAAUACGAAACUUUUGGUGCAAGGAGAAGCUUGCAGUAUCUUAUAUCAAUACUACUGUUUACAAAUUCCAUGAAAAGACAUGCAUAAAUAGUCGAUUUGUGUGUUUGUAGUACUUAUAAAAAGCAGUUUUUUUCCUCCUGAAGACAUAAAUCUAUAAUAUGGUCUUAAGAAAGCCUGUGUUGAAACAUAUAGUCACUUUACUUUUGAAAUUAAGGAUUUUUAUUCUUCCUUAGAGUGGCUAUAUUUUCAGUUCAGGCUGUCAUUGUCUGGAAAUAACAUGGAAGGUCAGUUGUUUAAUUUAUUACCUCACAUCAGGUUUCACUUUUCGACUCUUACCCUAUUUUGUCUACAAAUCUAACUGAAAUUUGUUUGAUUUGCAUACAACAUUGGAGACAAUUUCCCACUGUGAAGUUUGUGUUUAUCAGAAAAAGUGGACAUGAUACACAGUGCAAGGGUAUCGCUCAGUGAUUUAGCAGUUUUGGACAUAAUUUAAGUCACAAUAGGGAUGAAUAAGUAAUCGUGGCAACACAGAUGAUUUGUAAGGAUAAAUUUUGACAAAAUUUGACAAAAAUACACAACCUAACCACACUCUUCUAGUAGUAUUUUUGAUAAUUGAACCUAAAGCACAAACAAUAAAAAAAAUUGAAUAGUUUCUGAACAUUAGUAGUCACAAAACAUUCAGCAGAGUGGCGAGUAUGUUUGAUUUGGGUGGAUUGAUGGCCUCUCUCAGGGGGUGUUAAGAUGAAAAACAUGGCUGCUCGCACUGAUCAGCGAUGCAGGGUCAUGCAUUCUGUUUUUCUUUCUUGACAGAAAGCCUGUCCAACAAAGUUUCUGUGAAGACCCCUGGAGUAUUCUGUGAAAAUGAAUAACAUGUCUCUCUUGAACUUUGACCCUCUGCCGCGCUGAGCUGUGAUUGUUUUGCCCUCGGUGGAGUAUGAUUACAUAAAGCCCUUGAUUUUAACAGCUCUCCACUUUCUGUUGUGAUGGGGAAGAGGAGAUGGAGUGAGGGAACGUCCAAUCACGGGAGAAAACAACUUUUUUGUAGUUUUUUAACCAUUGUAUUUGAGUCUGUUAAUGCAUGGCACCAAAGCAAGAGCAGCCAUAACCAAAUAACUGCAGCGAACUCUUGGUCAGAAACUCAAAUCAAGGGAACUCAGUAAAAUUACUUUAAGGAAAAGAACAGUAAUUUCAACUAAAGGGAAAAUGUGUGUUGGAGCCCUGUUGUGGUAUUUCCCCUGGAAAAUAAAAUUAGGCCAAUUAGAUUAGAACAAUAAAGCCAAUACUUAUCAUAGUGCAGCCUUCAAACUAUUCAAUUACGUUGUCUUAAGUGCUGUGGAUCAGAUUCUGCCUCGGGCCGUUCCUCAUGAAAUGUCAGCUUCAUAUAAAUGGCUGGGUGUUGCCUCAAUUAAAUACAUAUUUGAACAUUUUAAGCAAGUUGAAACAGCGGUGAGGUCAGGGGAGCUUCUGCUAAGGAUUCAGCUUUCCAAAAAUAGUGCUUCUGUUUAAAAUGCUCUUAACUGGUUGGUGACUCAAAGCCUGUCUCUAUUACAUAUCUUUCUAUUUAGUGCUUAAUCUAGCACAGUAGUAUGAGGAGAUUUAUAUUGGUAAUUGAUAUGGCAGAAGUCGCAGUAUUUGUGAUGGAAACUCUGAUGCAAAACAAAAGCAUCGGUGGAUUUUUAAACAGUUAAGACCUUGGAGACUCUGAUUGUUCUUGGCUUGUUCUGGUCCUCAUAAACAAUGUUUCAAACUCUGGAAGAAACUCACCAGUACCUCAACGGUGACCUUCACGUCGUGUUCGCUUGCGCAACAGUGUAGCUAUCUCUGGUGUUUAGAAGCUGAUUACAUCUAUGUCCUUGUCUGUUAAAAUGCCUGACCUAUGACCUCUGCUGUAAACAGACUUAUUGGGUUGUGUCUGCUCUUUUAACAAGUAAAGGGGUCUUAGAGUCUGAGGACGCCACUGCCAAGACAGCAAGGGGUCAGGAAUGAGGGCAUAGGAGGAAGAGAAGAUUACAGGACAAACGGGACUUUUAAAUGAGAUUGGAUUCAUGGAAAUGCAGCAGUCUUAUGCAAUAAUUCACAUCAUAUUAAUCCCUCCUUCGAAGUCAACCAAAGCUGAAGUAGCCAGGAGGGUAAUUUAACAAAAUAUCAAAAAAAAUAAGGCUUUAAAAACUUGAAAAUCCACAGUUUCUUUGCGAGCAUUUUCCUGCCAGCAUGUACUUACUUUAAAUUCCUUUCUUAAGGGGCUCAUGGUUCUUCCCUCUUCUGGACUCACUUUGAGAGAAGAGGGGUAGCUUCAUCUUUAAGGGAUAUUUCGGCGUAAAAUUAAGUUAGGGUCAAACACACAGUAACACCAAGUUAGACAACCUGUUGUGAGAUGAAUCUUGCCAACCGAUUGCCUCUAGUUAUACCAACUUUAGUAGCGACCGCAGAUAGCAAUACAGAAAGCCACGUACUCAACCAAAAAGCCACUCUCGCCACAAAUGAUGCUUAGAACAGCACCUAACUUUAUCAACAGCACGCAGGGUCCCACUCAUAGCUCUAGCCACCAAACAUCUUUAUAGCUUUGCCUGAUUUCUUCAGCAAAGAGACUAAACACAACUCACCUACUCUCUUCCAGCAUCCGCUUGUUUGUACGGAGACCUUAGGUGAGUCCAUCAACUGAUGUGGCUCAAGGUAGAACAUUUAUGGUCAUUUCUUCAUGGAAAUGCAAUCAGACUGAGACGCUAAGGCAGAAGAACUACCGCGUCUACUUCAAGGAAAUAAUAACGUAAUGAUCAUAAAUGUUCUUCCUUGAGCUGCAUCCCCCCACUUCAGUCGAUGGACUCCUGGAGGUCUCCAUAUAAACAAGCAGCUGCCGGAAUAUCCCUUUAAAUGGUUGCUGUUCAGUAGCAAAAACUAUAUAUUUGCAAAGCAGAGAGUCAUGUGGCUGGCAAAAGCUGCAAAUUUUGUUUAAAGUACAGUCAACCUUUAUCUGAACAUCAUAAAGGAGGGUUGGAUCACAUUCUGCUCAUGGAUACCCAAAAACAAAACAAGAGAGUGUUGCUAGCUGCAUGCCAGUUAUUACCGAGUCUGUACUGAAAGGAGCCCAUGUAACACAAAAUAAAGGUUUUAUAGAAUACAGAUUUGCUCAAAUGCACUCCAACAUUUUAUCGUAAGGUCUUUGAGAGCUGCAGCAAGAGUACCACACCUUCCAUGUCAUCCUGAGCUCCAGUGCAAGCCUCCAACAUGGCAUCCCCAGGGGAGCCUUCAGCCCAUGUCUACACUAAUUGCUCAUUGAUACAGAUUGUGAUUAUCUGUGCUUACAGGGUAAUUAUGUAGUGUCAGAGUCACUAAAUCAGGGUUGGAAUGAGGCUAUCACAGUGUUGGCUCUUUGGGGAUUAAGGGGGGUAUGUCUGGGCCUCUGUGUUAUCUCGAUUCCUCUCCAACCCUUAUCUCCAGAGCGUGAGCCUGCAAAGAAACAACAGCCGGGCAGCAGCCAAAGCAGACAGAUAGUUGGAGUGCCAGGCAUGCAAUGUGAAGACACAAAGAGAGGGAAGGUUCCACACACAAGCACAAAUACACACCAGGCUUACACAUUUAUGGCCCUUUUUGUUGCUUUUGUGUGCACCCCAUAGAACAAAUGCCAGCUCACUGUGAAAAAUGAAAAUUUUGCUGUGACGGAAAACAACCACAAUGUAGCAUUUCAAUGAAAUUUGGCUGCAUUGAUCCAAUUUAAAUGUUCCAAAAAGCUUUCAUGAAGCACAGAGUAUAUGGGCAUAGAAAAUACUGACUUACUGGUGGUCAACCAUUUUAUGGCUGGCUGUUUUUACAUUGCAUUAUGUGGUGUUAUAAACAGGCUGUGCAGUCUCCAAACUUAGCCAAGACUUACCAAGUGCCACCUUUGUUUUGGCCCUCAUUUGUAAAACUAAUUGCAACCCAACCACACAAUUUAACACCAUAACAAUCACUUCAGCUAAAACAUUACGCAGUUUUGUUCAUCUUAAUGCAUAUAAAGAGAAAUAACAUGCUUCCAAGUCUGGACCCAGUUAAGAUAGACUGAGGCAAAGUGGAAACUGCGUCAUGGUCUGACAAAUGAAAUAUGUAGGGCUGAUGAAACAAUUCAAGUGUCACAGAGUGCGCCAUGGGUAAUGGGUUUUUUGAUUAAUUGCAAUGAAGGAUCAUUGUAUAUGGAAAAGACAAGAAGGGGCACUGGCAGCUAGCAAGAAGUCCUGAUAUGCUAAAAUAGAAAAUAAGAAGUCCCAGUACACCAAAGGGUUAAAUGUGGAAGUGGCAGUACUGUACACUGAAGUGUUCAGGCCCAUUUAAAGCACUGUGCACAUGUACUAUUCUUUAGCUAUAAUACAUUUAAAUGAAAGGUUAAAAACAAUGUCAGUCCCCCAUCAUAUGGCAAAUAUGUCAUUAUUGGACUGUCGAUUGAAUCUUUUGGUACAGGUUUUACAUCCAACGUCCAUGACGACAGUAUGAUUUAGUGCAAAAAAUAAAAUAAAAUAAAAUAGAAUGAACUUGUGACUAAAUAUUGAAAGGAUUGGUUUAAAUGAAGGGUUAAAAUGCCUCAUUAUAAAUAGUAAAAAUGUAGUUAUAGGUGAUAAAAGUCUAUGGUGGGACCGAAUCCUGAUCGACUACAUCAAGAACACUCUACUCAGUCUUCUAGGACUCCUGCUGCAACUGUCAUUCUCCUUAAAAAAGGCUUAAAAGAGCUUCAUAAAUAUCCUGCAAGUUGGAAGUACCAGAACGAGUCAGGGCUAUGUGCAUCUGCUAUGGUGUGAAUAAUAUGAAUCCCACAUGUCAAAAAGUUCUUUCAAACAAAGAAUGUUUCUCAUCAAAACAGGGAAAGUUUCCUCGAAGAAUAACACUCAAGUCUGAGAAUAUUUCUUCUGAAAGCUUUUGAACAUUUCUGGUUCUGUGUCUGCACAAUGUAACAUCUUCAUCUUCUCAUGACAACUUUCAUCUUCUGAAGUAUCUGCUCCGAUGACAGAAACUUCCCACGACCCUGCAGCCAUUUUUCAAACACUUUUUUCCUCUUUUAUCCCGCCGAAGUCUUUCUUCCAUUUAAGAGCAUUAGGAAAGUGAUUUUUUCACAUCUUGGCCGCAUCUUGUCUCUGGAUACAGCUUCAAUAGGGAUCCUGAGAACUGGAAAACAUUGCGGAAACCUUUAAUGUCACUUGGAACGCAUUCACUCAGCCGAGGCAUCGCUUUAAAAAACUGUGAAAUGUUAGGAGGACUGUUCAAGUAAAGUGGAUUCUUGACCUCCCACAUUUCCCUGGAUUUAAUAUCAGUUAAUUUAUUGACAGUCAUGAAUAGAUUUUUCAGACAUAAACCAGAUCAUAUCACUUAGCACUACAGCAUCAACAGGAAGCCUUUUAAGCCGUAUAAUCUGGUGUGCCUUAUCGCCCGAAAAACCCGGUAAUUGUUUAGGCAGUAUCUGGUCAACGUAACUAAGUAAUUUUGCUUAAAUUAAUAUUCUUUUAUGAAGACCUAUCAUUACCAAAAGAUAAUGAUUUGAGCUUUCAUAAAAAGUUUGGUUUUGUUUCACUGCCAUCUUCUCCUUAAAAGAAGAUGUUUAAUAUAUCAAUGUAUCAUAAAUUGUAACUUGAAGCUACAGGUAAAGGAUAAUGUAUAGCGAGCAGUUUGUCAUGGCAGAUUGGAACCCUGACAGGGUGAGCAACCCUGUAGCGAGUGACACAAGAACAGAAAUAUUGGUUUCCCCAAUAUCCAAUUCUGGGUGCAUUUUAAAGUCCUUCGGUAAAUGCUUGACAUGGACCCAAGCUCCCUCAAAGCAGAUGUAAACAAAGCACCAUGUGGUGGCUUAUUUUUAUCUGCCUUACAGUAUUUUGAUUAUUAUUUUGGCUUUGUCUUCACAUUGCGUGGACUGGAUGGCAAUGCUGUUGCUGUUUUGCCAUUGCUUUGCACGCUAUUUUCUUCAUGGCUAUUGCUGGACUCUCAUCGUAUUUCUUUCAGAUCUACCUUCCUUAUCUACCACUUCAAACAAAAGUCACUCUGCCCCCCAAAACAUGGUCCAAGAGCCACUAAAGAUGCCCCAGCUGCUUUCAACUCACUUGUAGUUCCCCCCUUCCUUUCACUGUCAAUGCACGGAAUAGAGAUUAUCAGCAGAGCAUCCCUUUGUUGUUGCUUGGAGGGGAUGAGGGUAUUUGAGUUAGAUCUCCUGGAUAACAUUCGGAGCACCCAGAUUUCAUUUCACGCAAUGUUCUUUUAUGCUGACAGAGUUGCUCAUACUAGGACACUGUUAUUAUUUUUGGGAAAACUUGAAAAGAAAACCUUAAAGCCACCAAGUUCAAUGCGUUCCUCUGAAGAAUAAGAGAAGAUUGCAACUUGGUGACAUAAUGAUUGCGUGAAUGUGGUCUAUGUUUUCUCUUUCUCCAACUCUUAAACCACCUGGCUUCCCUUUAUUUAGUGAGGUCCUUUACGGAAACUCUUAACAGAGAUAGCAGAGAGCCAACUUCUGCAGACAUACAGCACAAAGAUCUUGUUGCUCUUUAUGGCCUGAUGGCCUGACCUUAUCGUUGGCUAUUCUGACUAAACUGACAGACUAAAGAGGAAGAUCUGAUCUGUUUUUUUGUUUGUUUGUUUUUUUUUUUUUUGUUUUUGUUUCUUUGACUUCUUUUCUCUGAGUAAGUUGGGUGGAAUCCAGCCACAGACUUAAAGGAGACGUCACGCAAUGGUUGCAGGUUAUCAAAUCUAAUCAGAGACGCUUGACUCACCUUGGCACCAGCUCUUAAAUUUGUCAGUGUGGUCAUCUCACCAAACUGUUUGUUGUGUUUGUAUAAUGUCGUCAUUUGUUUACAGAUGAUUGGAGUUAGAAAUGCCUCUUUAGUCUUGAUCCUUUGCAGCAACAAUUUCUCAGUUCAGUAUUUCAGUAUUGUAGGAAAGUUCUAAAUACUAAAUAAUUUUCGGUGAGAAAUAUAUUUAUAGAUUAAGAACAGUACGAAACAGCCAUCUGUGUGUCAAUCAAAGUUGUUUUUUUUAAAAAAAACCCUUAAAGUCCCACUCCCAUUAUUAUUAUUUUUUUAUUAUUUUUUUACUAUUACUACUUAAGAGGUUAUCAGUGGUCUUUAAAUUGGGGUUGUAAAGUUUUUAGCCAAAAUCGUGUCACCUGUGUCAUUAUCAAGGGCUUUUCUUCUGCAGAGCUCCAGUAGAUCAUAAGCAAUUCACCUCUGAGUCGCGGGCGGAGACAGCACACUCCUCUUCUCGAUAGCUUGCAGCCUAACAGUGCCAGUAGGUAAUAUAGGAGCUAUUCAGCUCUCAGAUACUAAUGUCUUUAGGGGCAUGAUGAAAGCUAAUAUCAUAAUUAGCUUUCUUACGAGCAUUGCAAUCUGUUACCACACACACUUGUUCGGCGAUUGUACUCUCAAUUUCGCCAAGUUGCCUGCAUAGCUUGACUGUUGCUAGGAAGCCAGGUAGUAAACAAAGCCAUGACAGUCAAAUCAAGGACAUGAUUAAUGAUGAAACUUUCAUUUUGUACAAACAGUACAGAGCUGUAAAAGUGACAGUGUUUUAAUCAUUUGACUUCCUGUUAGCCUCUUGCUAACACGUUUAAUCAACUGUUUUGAUAAGUAAUAGGUCGUGCAAGAACAGUAGUUUAGUUAAAUUGCCUAAUCGAGCUGUGGCAGCAGCUCAACUUAAUUUCGCAUCUAAACAUACUGAUGAUUUAUGAACAGGGCAACUAAUAAACACAGCUGUGUAAUAAAGCGCAGUCAGCCUGAAUUAGUUGUUGAUCAUGGCAUUUCACUUCUUCAUUUCCUUGUUAACAACCAUACAAGCAAGUGCCGUGUACAUUAGCUAGGUUGCAAAUAAUUCAAACAAUUUUCAACCAUCCCUACAAGCCAUGCAAGUCAACUGAAUGAACAGUGAACAGUAUGAAGGUCAAAAUGAGCAGCUGAGGCAAAUAUUCUGGUAUGUAAAUAUAUGACCUGCAGAGUGACUGUGAAGUUCAAGUAUCUGCUGUAUCCAGAGGGCCACAUAAGCACCCUCAGUCUGCAUAAACCAAUUACUCUCACCUCUAUGUGUAAACCUUUUUAAAGUAAUAUUUACAACAUCUGGACUAUAUCCCCCAAAUGAAGAUCAUUUGUUUUGGAUGACUUAAAAGAGUGUUUACCAGACUUUCUGUCAGAGAUGCUGUCAUACAUGAGGUGAUGGUUUACAAGAGCAGAGAGGACUCUUCAGACCCAUAAACUGCAUCUGUGGAGACAUUUUUCAUUUGAUAAAACUAUAAAUAGUCCUCGGUAUUCCCUCAUCCUCCAUGCCUUCUUGUUAAAAUGAGUGAGGGCAUAUGCUGUCUUCGGGUGCCUGGUACAACUGAUAACACACACCAAUAAAACUGGAUGAGCCCUGGACAAAUGUCAGGCUACACUAUAUCAAGAAGAGUUUUUUAAAAAAGACUGAAAAAGGGUCGUUUCUCAAAGAGGGGAAUAACCUCCUCACAUGUAAAACAGAGAUCAUCAAUCUUCUGCUUUCAGGGCAUGCCUCACCAAGAAGCAGAACAGCCUGUAGUCAUUUAGAAUGAGUGUAUAUACAGUGACACAUCAUGGGGAUAAUCACUUUUUUACAAAAAGGAUCCAAGGGUGUGAUUCAGCCAGUUUUUUGCCAGACCUUUCCCUCUUUGAGCUGCAAACAAGCUCUAUGGAGAAGUCAUCAAACUAAAUGCAGUGUCACCAAUAAAACUGAUUUAUCCCCUCAAGGAGGAACCCUACAAGUCUUCUUGGAGGUUUUAAAUCUUGCCUCCUUUGUUUUUUUGGCGAUUGAUGCGCCCCAACUUAAACAACCUCUGUUUAACUUUUGAAUUUAUCUCGUUUAGUCUUUCAGCUUCCUUUAUCUUGUUUUUUUUUUUAGGACACUGUAAACAUAAUUACUACCUCUGCUUGUUUACACCAAAGAGCUAUGAUUCUACAGGAAAUCUCUUGCCAGUGCCAAGUGGUGCCUCUUGUCUCACUCUCAGAAGAGGCUAAAGGUCAAAAUCAGAUGGAAUAUAAGUACUGUUUAGGGUAAAGAUGAGUUAGUGUCAACAGGAUCGAAAGUCAAGUCUUUCUUAUUAUAUUUCGCUUAGACGUUCAUCCAACCUGAAAUGCAGAUAAGUUUUAUCAUCCUCGUUCAUCUGGGGAGAUAAACCAUGCUUGCUCUGACCUGAGCGACAUGGAUAGGAGGGAGUCAGAUAGGUGGUAUAGGGAUGAGAUACAAGUUCAAUCUGACUAAAGGAGCCUGCCACACUGCCACAAGGAGAGAUAAUGUUGCAUGCACAGAAGUAGCGGUGUGCUCCUCUUCAUCUCCAGGGCAUUCCACAAGCACUAGCUCAAGGGAGCGGCUCACGUCAGACGAUCCUCUUCAGACAACACCGACGGGGCUGUCGUCAGAGGGCUUUACUGGCGGUGUCUGUGAAACCCGAGAGUUGCUGGACAGGCUUCACUCUGAGGGUUAAGAGGUGAGGGAGGGAUGGUUGGUUCUGUGGAAGAGGUAAUGCACACCCCCAAGUAGUGGGGAAACCGUGGCUUGGUGGCUCGCCACAGGGCAUCCUUAGUGUGAGGAAAGCCAACCCGCCACCUCUAACGGGAUCAGAUUUCCUCACAACUUGUUGCCCGGUGCUAUAUAAACUCUGGCAUGUGGUGUUGACACCUGAUCUGGACUAAAAGGGCCGCGGGAGAGAUUCUCUGCACCCACCAUGUCCUCUGCUCUUUCAAGUCCAUUGCCACCUACUCUUGCCCAGACUGACCCACAGGCAUGGUCACCCUCCAAGAGGCCCCCAGUGGACCUUCACCACACAACUCUCACUCAGGCUCAGUCAUCACUGCUCUGCUAAUGAGGCUCUCAGGGGACAGUCUGCCACAACUGAAGGGAAGCUUUGGUUCCAGGGAGUUCCCUGCUGUGAGGGAACCUCCCUUCUUGAUUUGAGUUUGUCCCAGUGUGAGACAGCUGUCAGUCUGCCUGCCAAAACACCCAUAACAUGCAAACUCAAUGUUGUUGCCGAAGAGAUUUAAAGGGGCAGCCCUUAUUUUACAAAUAGAAAAAAAGUUUACCCACCAUCAUGAGUACUACUCAGCCCAUGGGCAGAGUGAGUUUAAGUAUCUUGGGCUGCAGGGAAGUGUUUCAGAGUCUACCAAGUGAUCAUUUGUCAAGUUGUUACUAUCAAAAAUGUCUAUGAAAUCAGGAUGAGAAUUGAUGAGUUUUUGAAGAUACUCAUGCCAUUACCAAUUCUGCUUUUUGAUCUAGUUAUUUAUGCACUCCUUUAUCAAUUCCUGAGGAUUUUCUGUGCAGAACACAAAUUAUAGCACAAGUUUUGUUAUUGUCACUGUUCUACUGAUAUGAGAAAGCCUUAUUUCUAGGCGAACACCCUUAUUUUAACAUGCAUAUGUUAUAUUCCAUUUCUGCCUUUUAUUCUGCUAAACACUGUACUUUUGAAAGCCCUGUAAGUGCACCUUGUACCUUAGUAUGUGAGGAGGUAGAGCAAUCGUCCAAUAACUAGAAGGUUGGUGGUUCUAUUCCACCCUAUCAUGAGUCUGCCCAUGGUGCCCUUGUCAAGACACUUAACCCACCUUGCUCCCAGUGUGUGUCCUCCACUGGUGUAUGAUUGUGAGUGUUGUUUGGUGGUGGUCGGAGAGGUUGUAUGCGCAAACUGGCAGCCAUGUUUCCGUCAGUCUGCCCCAGGGCAGCUGUGACUACUAAAGUAUUUUACCACCACCAGGGUGUGACUGUGUAAAUGAAUGAAUGAUGUAUCCAAUGUAAAGUGCUUUGAGGGUCUCUGAUAAAGUGCUAUAAAAAUCUGAUGCAUUAUUAUUUUUAUUACAUUGAUUGAUAACAAGGAUAAUGGGACCUUAAUUUAAAAAUCAAAAUUAUAAUUAGUUGGCUUUUAUUUAUGAAAACAGUAAGAUAAUAUCAUAUCACCUUGGAAAUCUACAAUAAAUAAGUCUCCAGUCCGAACAAGAAACUGAAUUAACCAAAGUCAUUAAAGAACUUGACCACCAUUAUGGCAAUAAACAAUCUCAAGGUUGACAGGUCCACAAGCCCUCGAUAGAGUAAUGAGUGCUACAAACAUCAAUUAUUCAACUUUAUCGAGUAGGUUAUGAAUUUUCUUCUCUCACAUCAGAAAUCUGAUGAACUGGAAGCCUUAGAGAGGGGUCUUCUGUCUGCUCUUAAUUCAUCAUCACUCAGUCAUGUUUCGGUCGAUAUCACAGACUCCUGUGAAGAUCAAGCUAAUGCAACGUUGACUGACAAGAAGGAGAGACUGAGUAAGAAAACAAAGGAGCAACACUACAUCAUCCUGCCUGUCUCUACAAACAAAUACGUCCUUUUUGUAAUACCAAAGAUGACACAAGUGAAGAUAUGUGAUUUUUUUGUGCUUUGACAAAUCAAGUAUUGGAAGCACAGAAGAUAAAAAGUUGUGCAUGACUUCAUUAAGUACACAGGCUGUAAAUGAACUCGUCUGAUGUGACAUAAUGCUUCAAGAGGUUCUCCACCAAUCUUGCAGUAGUAACUUUACUUUUCAUCCUAUUGGCUGAAUAAGCCUCUGCUUGUUGUGUCAGUGUCAGCUCAAACAAUUGGGCCUCUGACCUAUGAGGUGCCUUAAGCUCUUUGGAGAGUCACUUCAAAUGCGGAUUAGGACUGGGUGUGGAAGAAAAAUUCAGCAACAGGAGACAGCACUUUUUUGUUUCAGCGGGCGAGGGAAACCACCGCAUAUUUCUACGAAAAGCUGCAAAGAGGCAAAGCGAAGGGAAAAAACAAGAUUAAAACGCCAGAGGCCCCCUUCUUCUUCACUCAGGAUGUUGUUUAUAUUGUUGACAGGCCUUUUAACCUCCCUAAGCUCAUUCUGGAAGGUCUCUUUGGGAGCUCACUUUGGGUUUGUAGCCUGUGGAGCCUCCAUUCAGCCUGUAUCCAGUCAAGCAGUUGCAUUAUUUAUGAGUGCUGCGGCUGUUAUUCUGACUCCCUUAUUGAGAUUGUUGAUACCUCAUCAUGGAACAUGUAUAAUGAGGGGACAAUAAAUUUAAGUGCUGUCAACAGCCACUUGAGGGAACAACAUGUCAGGUUUCUCUUCCCCAGAUCCUGAUGACAUCAGAUUCAUCUCUGCGUGUGAUGUGUUUUCCUUUUGGACAGGUCCAUUGGAUUGGCCUCAAGGCCCAUUUCACAGUGGAUUAGUUUCCAUUUCAAGCCGUAGCCCAGCCCCCCUCUCCUGCAUCUGAGACAUGAACUGGGGUUAAUUCCUCAGAAAGUCUUUUUCAUCUUUUGUCAGGGGUCUAAAAGCUAUGUGACAGAACUUUGCUUUGGUGGAAUGAAUUAUUUGGGGUGAGGCCGAAGACAGUCUAAUCCCAUUGUUUUGGAUGGAUCAAGAAAUGGGAUUUUAAAUCAGAGUCAGAAAAGAAUAAACAGGCAAAUUUUAACUCCUCAAACUGGAAAAAAAACACCUCAUGGAGUAGUGUCUCUGGGGGGCUGUUACAGUGCAAAUUCAACACUCAUCUGAUAGCCACUGAAAAAGCACCGUCACAUGAUGCAUUGCAGUGUAAAGGAAGAAUCAACACAGUACAUCCCUCUUAUUUCUAUCAUCCAUGUGUUUUCCGUCUCUCUCACAGUGUAUACACAGGUAAACAAGCACGUUCACAUACAAGCCGAAAGAUUUCCAACAACCUUAAUUCCAUGAACACAUGCAAGCGAGCACACACCUGCCGUAGAGUGAUGACAGAUUUAAUGUGAACCCAACAUUUCUGUUUAAGGUAGACAGCUUUACAUGUACACGCUAUGAGCUCUCCAUCAUCUAACAUACCUCCAGAUGUGAGCACAAAUCAGUCACUCAGAGAGCAUGUUACUCUCCCACAAGCGUGCACGGAGUAAAACGGGCGUUUGAAUCAGGGGAAAUCAAAACAGGAAAGGACCAAAAGGGAACCUUAUCCCAGAUGGGGGAAAGUUCUUCCAGCACAUCACCAACCCUGGACUGACACCUCAUUAGCAUCUAUCCAUGCACAUCUGUAAAUGACAGAGUGUUAUUACAAUCUCCCGGUCAUUUGACCGCAUGUUAGCGUCACUGUCAUCUUUUCCAUGUCAAAGAUAAAGAGAUUUCUAAGUUUUAAGUGUUUUCAGAACCAAGUAUGACCCUGAAAACUGAAAACUGGAUUUAAACCUCACACUAACUUCCGAUAAUCAAUGUCUGUUAUCAAUUAGCUCUUUGUCCUGUUGCUGAAUCGGUUUAAGCUCCCAUCCUGUAACACCUCAUCACAAUAAACCUCCAUUCACACUACAUUAGCUGGACCUAAAUGAGGCUGGUUUGGAGAGUUAAACCACACUCCUGCUUUGACCCUUUGACCCUGGUCCAUGCAUCUCACACAUUCUCUCAUUUUUGUUUUGGUUGCUUAUGAAAACAGACCAGAAGAAAGAAAUUCAAAACUCAACUCAUAGUUAGAACCUUGUCCUCAUAUUGCAGGAGAUUUUCUUCAUUUUUGUGGCAAGAUUUUGGAUGGCAGAAGAAAAUUAGAUUUGUAAGGAUUGGUCGAAUGGAAUUCAGUCACAUUUUAAUCUCGUCUACUCGUUUGAUUUGUUACAAAAGUGAGUUGGGCCUCUAGAUAGUGCUUUUCUUGUCUUCUGACCACUCAUAGCGCUCGUUUACACCUUAGGUCACAUUCAUACACUCAUUGCCAAGAAUGCUGACAAUGGUUCCCUUAAGCAUCGACCUUUCCCAUUCAUACAUUUAUCCGUGUAUUACGCUGCUGGCUUUGCUGUGCAGGAGUCAAGUCCGAUUUACUGCAUUACUCAAGGACAUAUAGACUACAGGGCCUGGGACUGAACCACCAACUUCUUUACAGAAGGAUGGCUCACCACCAGCUUGUUGAAGAUCAAAUUGCCAAAAUUUUUCAUGCUGAAUGUCUGACAAGGUAACCACAAAGUUUGAUGGAACAAGGCAGCUAUGAAACGACAAAGAUUUAUGGAGUUCACUGCUUAUUUUAUGUAAACAUCAUAUAUUUUAAAUAAAAAGCUGCACCAUUGAAACAUAAUAUAUGUUAUACUAGGGUGACCACACGUCCUCUUUUACUCAGACAUGUCCUCUUUUGGGGGGCUGUCCAGCCUGUCCGGGGGAGUUUAUAAAAUCCUUCAUGAAAGCCCGUUUCCAGUACUUAAUUAAAAAAGAUGAGAUAAAAUGUUGUCUUUUUAAAAAAAAAAAAUAUAUAUAUAUAUUUGGAAAUUCAGAAUUGCGUGUGAACUCACACACCUCCGCCCCGUGUAGUAGUGUCUUCUUUUUGGGGAUUCAGAAUAUGGUCACCCUAUGCAAUCCUGACGAACAGUUUGAACAAGAUGAUCAGUUUUGUGAAAGUAACUCGAUGGAAAGUAACCCUGUUGUAUUUUGAUCAGCGUAAGUCUCAGGGAAGAAGUUAUUUACAGCUCAUUUCGCAUUACUAGCCUUUUUUUUGCUCUCAGGCUGUUCAGUGCUGCGGGGACUUUGGUAACAAGCAUGAUGACCCUCUUCCUCCAGCUCUCCUGCAGAGUGGCAUGUAGAUGACUUUGCUGAAAAAAAAGACAACCUGAGGGGUCCUACCGGCCAGCCUGGCUUCAUUAGCAGAGUUAACCUUCAGAUUGUGCCGCUGCCUCCUGCUCUGCCCUCAGGUCUGUUAUGGCUGAGAGGGAGCUGGAGCAAGACUCGUGUCAAAUAUACUGUCAACUCGCUAAACAGGAACAGCUUCGACAUGGCCAAGAGUCAUGACAAGACAAGGGUCCCACUGGGGAGAGAAAACUUUCCGAAUACGACAGGAAGUUAAGUGCCUUUUCCUCGAAUAAAACUGUCUCCUUUUCGAAAGAAAACAUUUUUUAUUUGAUGCUUAAAACCCUAUUUAUUCAACAUGUUGGGCCCCACUUAUUCAUUGGAGAGAAUAACCAUGGCUCAAACCUCAGCGCAGAGUGAGUGGCAGUGUUUAUCGGACAUAUCUGUAAGGUUAUGUACCAACACUCUCUGAUCAUGGUUUCACGAUGCAAUUUUUGGAUUGGCGGUCACUGGAUCCAAAGUCCAUUUGCAGUGCGGCGAGGAUGAUAUCACUACAUGAAAGCAGAAAAUAUCUGUUCCCUGAGUAUGAAGCACACUUGGUAAUCACGGUGCACUCCUUCCAUCUUGUACUGGUUUACCCUCCUGGAGACCAGAGCAGAGAUCAUACUUUGAAAUAUGGGAAGUAUUGUGUGACCUAAACUAACUCAAAGAAGCUGUGGAAUUUGUCAACACGGAUAUAUAUUAAUAUCAAAUGAUCUGAGCUGCUUUCUGAAAUGGUCUUAUAGAGUCUAAAUCCAUUAACGACAAAGAAGACCAGCACAGUCAAACCAGUCCUAUCUUAUUACGUGCUGUAUCCAAAUGUCCUCACAGCUUUUAUCUCGAAGUUGUCUUGGCUGUAAGACGUUCUUGUGCUCAUCUGGACAAACUUAAAUCAAAAAUGAGGUGAGACUCAAGGUGAUGCUAGCUCACCCAGGUGUCACACCUUUGUUCCCUUAAUUUCCUCUGCUGAGUAGCUAUGUGCGCCGUGUGAGGCUGCUUCACGCCUCCCCCCCCUCUGCAGACUGCGAGGCCUGAUGAGGACCAGAUGUGGUGCAGAUGAGGCCCCUGUCUUGUGCAGGGACCUGAGAGGAGCUGUGACUCCAUGGAGGCUCAUCAAACUGCCAAAGGUCCAGCUAGGAUUGAUUUCUGACACAGAGGAGCACGCUAUACCAUCAAUUCAAUGUUUCUGUGUCAUCAAAAAAAGGCUUGGAUUGUUAAAAGCAGUGAUCAUCCAAAGCAACUGGCCAUUCUUUGAAGUGGAAAUUAAGAUUCUCACUUUUAAACCAUGCUAAUGGUAGAAAACAAUUAGAGUAGGUCGAAAGUUUUUUUUUUUUUUGCUGUAAGUUAUGUUUCUGGACAUUUUUAUUUGUCCAAUAUUUUUUCCUAUUUGAAAAGAAAGCUUGUUGGUCAGCAAGCACGGCCUCCUCAUUUACUCUCAAACUCGACAAUCAAAUUACCUACUUCCACUUUUUUUUCUUCUUCUUCUCUUUCUUUUUUUGUUAAAAUUUUUAUACUUGUUGAAUGAUACCUUUACCUGUAUAGAUCAAAACCGUAUUUAAUUAAUUCAUUUAUUUACUUAUUUAAUCUCCUUAAAAUGGGAUGCAAUGGAUGUUGUAGGUCGGGGUGGGUUGGGGGGCGGGGAUGUUAUGUGUUCUGAGAAAAAUAAAAAAAUAUUGUCUCUUUACAUUAAUGUCUCUUUGUACCUUGAAAGAAAAGAAAAGAAAGCUGAAGAACGACAGAAAAUGUUAGGAUUAAAGAGUAGGGAAAGACAUGAAGCAAAGGAUUGUGGCUGGAAAUCCAAUCACUGGGACAAGGACUAUAGCCCCUAGACGUUGGGUGCUUAGAAAUUUUAGGGUGCUGAUGGCCUGUGGUCUGACACCAAUACUCAAGGCAAGCAAAAUGGUAUCCUUUACGCUAAAGCCUGCUGUAUAUGCCAAUACCUCCUUAAUAUUGAUGCUACUUGAAGACAGCUGUUCUACAUUUGAAGGAUUAAAUUAUUCAAUCGAAGAGCAAACUGUUCCUGCUGUAUGUGUGUUUUUGCUUGUUUUAUUUGCAGGUUUUGGACCCAUAAACCCAAGGAUACCUGUAACAGUAUGUUGAGUAGCACCAUGGGAAAAAAAAAAAAAAAAAAAAACAGACACACUUGGUUUUAAAGACCCACUCCGAUGAAAAUAAUGUUUUCCUUGUUUUUUUUUAUAUGUUCAUAUGGCAUUUUUCUGAUGUUACAGGACAUAUCAUGAGAGAACUAAGUGCAAAAUUGCUUUUCUGAGUAUUUCUGCAUUUUAAUCGGCAGACCUUUGACCCUGGUCCCUGGUUUUCCAGCUGUAGCAGCGCUGUCUCCACCCACGACCCAGAGGCGAAUUGCUAAUGAUCUAUUGGAGCUCUGCAGAAGAAAAGCCCUUGAAAAAUGACACGGGUAACACGAUUUUGGCUAAAAAUGCAAUAAUCACGAUUUAAAGACCACCGAGAACACUUUAAGUAGUAAAAAAAAACCCCAAAAGAUCAGAAUGGGACCUUAAUGUCUGUUCAUGUCAUGUCUUACUGUAGCCAUUCAAAUGACACAGAAUUUGUGUCAUUCACUUAAAUGGAAUUGUAUCAGUGUAGAGUUCACUACAUGUGUUAUUUCUUUGUUAUUCUUCUUCAAUACACUUUUAAGUUUUUAAGUGCCAGCAAGGAUAGGUUCAUCAGCGAUGUCAUUUAUAGAUUAAAGUAACUGUAGAAGUGAAAGUAACACAGGCUCACACCUAAUAACUUCACACUUUCUAAUCUACAUCAUACUUAAAUUUCUAUCCGACAUCCUGACUGCAGUUAUUCACAUGGAAAUAGAAAUUCAUUUUCAGGGCUGUUUAUUCCAAAAUGUCUGGGAUCACAUACAAGCACUGUUACUGUUUGUGUCACCCAGCACAUGUGUUUGUGUGUGCAUGUGUGAAUGAGUUCAUGCAGGAGGACUGGAUAUGGGGUUAGCAUGUUUAAACUAUGACUGUGGUACAGUGCAGGCAGAGCUCACUCCGAGCAAGAGGAGCUUCCCAUGGUAACAGCUGCAUGAUGUCAGAUGUUGAGCAGAGAUUGGACAGAUGUGCUGAUUUGAAAUAUGCAGGAGAUUAAGCCUGGAAUCUAUAGAGAAAUCACAAAUGUUGAGCGAGUUUGUGGCAGGAUAGUAAUAUAAUUUAGGGGCUUCCUUUUUUUAGAUUUAUAGAAAGAGAAAUGAAAUGAAAGGAUUGAGGAGGGAAACAAAAGGGUUUAAAGACAGUAUAGGCCUCGUAUCUAAAUGGAGACAGUUCCACACACAGCCUUAUUAAUAACACUGGACAUUUACUCUGCUUCUUAACUGACUGUGAAACUCUACAGCAAAUAAAUAUAUCUGUUCUGUUCAUUUUUCGGGAACUGGUCAGAUAGUGAUGUGUAUCAGACAUGCUUCAAGUUCACUUUCAGGCCAUGCGAACUCGCAGGCCCCAGCGUCACUGGAAAGCUCCGGUUCCGGCUCCAGACAGACUAUUGAACAGGAUUAGAGACAGAGAUAUCCCUAAUUGCUUAUAAUUCCUGUGUGCUGAUUAAAUGUGUCCAAAGCAACUGUGUCAAAGAAAUGUGUUAUGAGACGAACAGACAUUUAAGAGAGCUGGAGAUUAUCCAGUGCAGUGGGGAGAAAUGCAGCCUGGUUUAUCCAAUUAUCUUCUCUUUGUUGGAAUAUUUCUCAUGAGCUAUAAGUUCAACUCUUUUCAUGUAUGUCCUGGAAGAAAAAUAGAGCUAUGCUGUCUUAAAGAUCUCUAAAUUACAUACUGUAUUUUCCUCUUACAACCAUCUACAUUUUGGGUUUGUAUCUGAAAUGCCUACAUAAUACAUUUCUGCUGAUGCUCGAAUAAAAUACACUUGAAUGGAUUGACAUAAAAACAUUUGAUGUUAUUCAACAGCAGUAUGCCUGUCCAGAAACAAUGCCCCAGUUUCUCAGCAUAAACCACAGGCCACACUGAACAGUUUUUCUUGGAAAUGCUCCAUACUGGAGAAAAAGUCCAAAUGAAAACUGUUCACUCAGAGGUCCAUGCAGUGGUUACUUUUAAUAACAUACCACUGGAUUAUUUCAAAUACCAUGUGUGCUUUUAAACUUAAAACAUGUUUAGUGCAUACAGGAAAAUUUAUGCAGAUAAUAAGCCUGUAAAAACACUGUGCUUUCAAUGUCACCUCUGGUCAGUAGUGCAGCGAAGCAGAAAUCUGAUUGUGGACAGUGAACCACAAUGUAAUGUGCUUCCUGCUGACCCCCGAUCACACUCUUAAAAACAGCAGCCUAGCUAAGAUGAUCUGACUCUGUCUUCAGGUAUAAGGGCCCUACAACAUUCAUCUGCCUGCUGUUUGACAUGAAAAUAAGUUUAACAGCAAAGCAGAAAACACAGAAAGAAGACAGGAGGCAGACGUUGCAGUGUAGAAGACUCCAAGAUGUUCUCAUUGAUUUGAAUCUAGUAAACCCCAGGGUCCCAUUAAGGGAAGUCACACUUCCACAUCUGGUGCUAGAAAUGGACAUAUCAGCAAAGUGUCACUUACUGUUAAAUAUUAAUGCAAUUUUCUACUUUUGCUGCAUCAGAUAUUUUCACUGGCUUCAGACCUUCUCAUGAGAGUCCUUCUCUUAAAUGAAAAUAAAAUGAUUUAAUUUCAGAACUUGAACUCUUUAUAUGCAGGUUUGUAUAAAUUAUGCUACAGAUAUUUUAACAGAGAAGACACACAAACAAGACUUCAUUCCCCUUUACACAAUGCUGGAAGCUAAAUCUUUUUAAAAUGAUUAUUAACCUGUCAGGAAUAUACAGUAUAAUUAUUUUUGGUGCAUUUUUUUUGUGCUGUGUCAGCUGAGAAAUAUGCAACACUUAUCACAUAUCAUCAAAAGUGAACAAAUCAGGAGAGUGUCAUAAAAUCUUUCUAGUAUUAUUUUUCCCUUUUACUGUAUCACAUAUUCGGUUUUUGUGUUCCUGAAUUAAAGAUUUAUUUAUUUACAGAACUAUUGAUUCUUCAUUCCAGUUACAAAGGUACAUUGACCUUAAAAAGCCAGAGUAGCAUCCGUUGUGGUUAUCAGACAAACUUUCCUCAGAGGACUGCAGUUGGUAAACGGCAUUUUUUGUUAAAAGUAGUUUUAAAAAAGACAAAACUGAUGCCUGAACUGCAAAUUGAAUACAUAUUCUCACACACUGCAGACACACGUUUAUGCUGCGGAGGCCAUGUGAUCAAAAAUUGCUGUUAGAAUUCAUUUAAAUGUUUCUGAUUUUGGCCCAAAUAAGCAAACUAUCAUAAACUGUCACUGAUCAAAAUAGAUACAUUUAAAAUUUCAAAAAGUUUGAAAAAAAAAGUUCUGCCAAAUGACAUACUAAGUGGAAUAUAGAUGAAAAUAAAUGACAUAUUUUCGGCAUAUUUAACAUAUAUUUUUCAAACUCUUGUAUUCCUUAGUAGUCUACAUCUCUCAUGGAUGGGGGAAGGAUUUAUAUUCUGUGUAAUUAAUUUCUAAAAUUUGUCCACAGCCCCAUAGGGAUGGCUGGAGGAGGUGGGAUUUAUGACCUAUGCUGCAGCCUGUCACCAGAGGGUGCUGUUCUUGGGGUUCACCUAGCGAGGAGGCAGACAGUGUCCAUUCUAUAUACAGUCUAUGAUUGUAACCCAGAAUCUGGAAAUGAGACCUUCGGCUCAGAGGUUAAAUUAAGGGUCUCUAAAUCAGGUCUGAUAAUGCAUCACAUGAAACAAUCUGGUAAACAAAGACAACAUCAUAUUUUUGAGUACAGCCUUGAUUUUAAAUAUGCAUGGUCUUGGGUUAAUGCUCACGUUUGCAUGCCUCCACAUGUUUCCUACAUUCGUAAAGCUUACAAUCCCUGUUAUGGGUGCAUGCUUUUUUUUUUUUUUUUUUUUGACACUUUUUUGGCUUCACGCUGUUGUGUUUGGCCCCUGAUGCACAGAGAAACUUAAUCCCUUGUUGCUUUUUCAUUUGACCUGUAAAUUACCUGUUUCCCUUGAGGCAAAAAAUGUUGUAGAGUGUGUGUGAGUCCAUUGUAACUUCCAGUAUCAGUUAAGUGAGUAAUUCAUUUCACAGCCUCCAUAUCCGUCACAUAAGUUAUUACCCAACGCCUCAAAGCAGGUCAGAUAACUUGCCUUUUUUUAACUUCUGAGUGAGUCUCCAAAAUCAAAUCAGCACCUGUAGUAUAAUGUAGUCCACCUUUAUCAGCACCGUCUCUGAUAUCAAAGCCUUGUAUUGUAAGUGAGCACCUAGGGAAUUCAGGUAGAUUUCUAAAGCAGUGUAGGAGAGAGACAAAAAGCACUGAUAAUUAAUGGCUGUCACAAGAUACUGAGUGGAUUCAGAGCCAUUACGGAUGACAUAUAAAUUGCUGUGUAAUUUCAGAUGCUAUAGGGCGUUUUUCUGUUAGAGCAGGUCUCCUCUUGUACCGCCUGACAGAUGAAAUUUGAAUAGAAGUCGAGGCCAGAGGGAUAGCAUGCCAUUGUUGAACCAUCUGAUAUGCCACGGGCUUAUAAUGGUCCGGGCUGCAUGCAGAACAGCAGAUCAAACACCUUCUAGGAUUUCAGGAGAACUCAGUGUAACACAAAACAAGCUCUUAGAUGGACCCACAUGAAUAUACUAACACAGUAGUAUCAGGCCUACGCUCAUUAAACUGCUGACAAGCUGCAUGUCAACAGUUUAUUUUGCGCGUUGGACAUGUAAAGGGAAACAACAUUUAUUUAUGUGCGUGGAAGUAAACAGCGUCGCUCACCAUUGACUGCAUUGUUAACAACCCUGGACACAGAGGAAUCAACACAUCCACUUUGAGUGGAUUCAUGGUCACUGAUUAGUGAAAUAUGCCCACACACUGUGUACUUUAGAGUCACAUCAAGUUUCCGUGUUUGAUUUAGGCAUAAACAGCUGCAGAGAUGGCACGCACUAAAGACUAAAGGUGGGUGUGUUUUCUGGCUUUGUAACACAAUCUCCCCCCUCCUUUCCAGUGUGCUGCAGACACAGUUGAUGAUCUAUGAAGACGAUUAGGUUCACAUCAGGGAAGACUUGCAACGCACAAGGAGUCUAAGCUUAAAUAAGACGGCGCAAGAACAGUUUAUACGAUCAAUGUUCUCUGUGCCCUGCUUGUUGGCUUGCAGCAGACUAUGACUAUCACAACAUUUUGAUCACCAGUCCGAGAAAUUGAUAAAACAACUGAACAGAACUGUCAAUCCAUGAAACUGUGAGAAAGUUUGCACGUUGCAUGACCUCCAAGAUACACACUGGUGACGCACCUUUAUACACUUGCGGCCUCAGCUAGAUGUUUUGCCUUGCUCACUGAUUGUCGGUAACUUGUUCUAUUAAGUUUAAAACAAUCAAAGUUCUCUAGGCAAAAGUUUCAUUUGGAUAUGACAAUCCUUUUAUUCCUUUUUGCACAAUAAACCAAUAAAUCCAAACCAAAAACCAGCCACCAGCCAGCUUCUUGUGCACUACACCUGAAACAAUUAGUCGGCACCUUAAAUAGUCUUUUUGUGCCCCCUACCGCAACACACGUGAUCUCUAAAAAUGUCCCCACCACAAACAAUCAAGAAGGCAAAAAUUUAUAGAAUGAAAUCAUGUGUUAACAACAUUACACCUAGCAAGAGAAAGUAUUUCAUAAAUAUUGGCAGUGGCAUAAUAAAUACAAACUGAUGAGUUAUGGUGUAAAUCUUAAAGCUCCUGUGAGGUACUUUUGGUUUGUGUCAACUCUGGUGCCCCAAAAGCAGUCUUUGCCUAUUUUUCUCCAACAUGCUUAACAACUGACAAAAAAUCUCAUCCUGCUGAUAUUUGACAAUUAAAUAUAUAUAUUUUUUGUAACCAUUUCAUGUAAAAUAAUGUAAAAACAGAGCUGCUUGGCUGACACCUACCCCCUUCGCUUUCAAUUUAGCUAUUUAACAUCACAAUACAAAAAUCACCAGUCUUGUCCUUAAUGGUCUUUGCUUUUGUGCAUCACAGGAAAUAACUUCUAUGAGUUUCAGUCUAUUUCAUAUAUGUCAAAAAAAUAAUCACAGGAGCUUUAAAUGGCCUCAAUGUACACAUGCUUUAAAUGCUUUAAAUCUCUACAACCCAGAUGUAAACAAGCGUAGAUGGCAGGUUUUAUCUCGAAGCAAAUCCUUGUGGUUUUGCAGUAUUUUAGUCUAGAAAAGGAAAAUAAAACUGUACACAGGCUGUGUCUGGUUGAACUGGCACUCCACCAGAGUGGUGCAUCACCAGUACAGCCUGGGAAAAUCUUCUCUUUUAACUGAUAAUGCUUCUGAAUGAGGUCACUGGAUCAGCAAAGUUAUUAAAAUCCAUCCUUAGGGAGGAGAAAAGGACUCCAGAUUUUCUUGGCCAGGCAUCCAAAAGAUGUUUGGAUAUUUCUUGAACAGCCACACAUCUGAACGCCAUUGUACACAAAAAAAGUCAGACGAUUACCAAGAGCAUUAAAAAAAUAUAUAUUUAGUAGGCAUCAUGUUUGUUUGUACAAAAUUUUGAUGCAAUUUAUCCUAGUUGUGUCUCUGAGUGGUAGAAUAACAGAUCAGAAUUUGCACUCAAGCUGUAAUUCGAGGAUGUAGCAGAUGGUAUUUUAAAGUUUAUGUAGUCUAUAUGAUCCAGGCCUAAUGUUUGAUAAGUACAAUCCUAUAAAUCUUUUGAUGUCCCAACAAGGGCAGAGAUGAAGAGUAAUCCCACUUUUAAAUCUAAUCGGAGUGCACUCUUACAGAUUUUAAUUUAUGUAUGGUAAAUUCGUGCAGCUUUGGCUGUACAGUCCCAAAGAUUUUUUUUUCUCAGUAUGAAAUCCACACUCGGACAAGUACAUGAGAUCAGGGCAAGAUGUACGACAGAGGGUUAUAUAACGCACGAAAAAAAUUAACAUCUGGAAAAUCCGAUUUUAGAGCAAACAUGAGGGCCUCUUUCUUGAUCUGGACAUCAGCUCUGCCCUCCGAUCGGAGGACAGUUAUGGAAAGAGUGUCCAGCCAACAUCACAAGUUCUACAUCUGUAUCAGAGGUUCAUGCAGCGUUGUUGAGCUUAGAAAGACCAGAGCAGAGGCAAAGGGAAGUUAAUGUGCUCAUUACCUCUCCAGACCUGUUUGCAUUGCCUCUCAUUGUGAAGCCAUCAAUCAGGUCCUGCUAACAGUAAUCACUCACUUCUAGAGGCUUGUCAGGUCUAAGGGAAGGUAAAGGGGGAUAAGGCCCUGAUGGGACCACCCAAUCUGACCUCUUCUUGAGGGUGGGCUGCAUCACUACGACUUUGCCUCCUUCUGUUUUGAUUGAAGUUGGCGAACCUGACAAGCAAAGCAAAGCUUAUAGGAGCACAUGGAUAAGCAUGUAGAGCCGGUGUGUUGACACUAAUUGGAGAACUAAAGAACUGUAAACAGACUGUGAGAGAGUCUGGAAUUCCAGAUGUGAGAAUCAAGACAAGAACGGCUUCAAAAUACUCUCUUAGCUCUAGAUUUACCAUCAGAUGUUUGAGCAGAGCUACUUAGAAGGAUAUUCUGGCAUAAAAUUAAGUUAGGGUCAAACACACUGUAACACCGAGUUAGACACCCCGUUGAAAGAUGAAUGUUGCCGAUCGCUUGCUUCUCUAGUAACAACUGCACGAUAGCAAAACAGAGAGGUCUCAAGAGCCAACCAAAAAGCCACUCUAUAGCCACUCAGAACAGCACCUAACUUCAUCAACAGUACAUAUAGGGUCCUAGCCAUAGCACUAGCCACCAAACAUCUUUUUAGCUUUGCCUAAUUUCUUUAGCAAAGAGACUAAACACAACUCACCUACUCUCCUCCAGCAGCCGCUUGUUUUUAACAAGACCUCAGGCCAGUCCAUUACAGACUGCAGUGGGGGGACGCAGCUCAGGGAAAAACACUUAUAAUUUCUUUGUGGAAAUGCAACCAGACCGAGACGUUAAGGCAGAAGAACUACCGCGCCUUCAGUGCAAAAUGAUUAAUAUGGUGAUUAUUACUUCAAGGAAAUGAUAAAGAAAUGAUCAUAAAUGUUCUUCCUUGAGCUGCGCCACCCCGCUGCAGUCGGUAAUGGACUUUUCUGGGUCUCCGUACAAACAAGCGGUUGUUACUAAAGUUGGUAUAACUAGAGGAGCAAGCAGUCGGCAACAUUCAUCUCUGGACGGGGUGUCUAACUCGGUGCUACGGUGUGUUUGACCCUAACUUAAUUUUACGCUGGAAUAUCCCCUUAAAGCUUCUAUGAUGGAGUUUUCAACAUCUAUAAAAUGAACUGAAAUUCAUAUUAUACCUUUUUCUACAAGUCAAGUGAGUUGUGUGUCCACUGGAUGGCGCUAAAACUGACACAAACUGAAAGUUCCUCACAGGAGCUUUAAUGGCUGUGCCUUUAUAACAUCUAGAAACUGAGGAGAGAUUAAAGAGAAUGUAGUAACAAGGACCUGCGCUUUUAAAUCAAUCCAAUCUCUGUGAUUUCCUAACAUUCAGUAUAUGCUGCACUCUGUUAAAGGCAUGAAAAGGACAUAUCUUUUUCAGCAACAGGAAAUUGCUCCCUCAUUAUCAUCUGAAAGGCAAAUCUGGUUGUCAGAAUAAAUUCUCUCAUGAACUUGCAAAGAUAACCAGACCCCUGCUGAUAUCAUGCAGAUGCAUCACCACCACACUCAAGGCUUAACAGGUUCCCAUUAAGACAUACGCUCCCUUAACAACACUCUUCCGUGUGCUCAAACAACUAUACUGCAUCCAGGGACUGGCUGCCCCAAAUGGCUGCAUUGUUGUCAUACUCUCUCCUGGGAGGUGAGAGUGUGUCAGGUUAGGACCGGCUUUACCAGCCUCCCCAUAUGUGCGAGGCAUUUAGAUAUGUCUUUAAAAAGAAAGGAGGAAAUGUAAAAGCUUUUUGAUGGAUGAAAUUUAAACAUAAUGCUAUUUAGAUAAAGGAUGUCUGACAUACAGGGGGCAGUUUAUCCCAUAUAAUUUGGCGCUGUAAUGUGCACUUUGAGGGGCCUAUUUCUGAAAGAGACAAAUGAUUUAUGACCUCCAGUUGUCCCCCAUGGGAGCCUCAAGCACCCGAUGGGAAAACAAAUGAAAUUAACAGGAAACUAAGGCGCUUUUUUUUUUCUCAGAAAUGUAGUUUCUUUAAGUUCAAAUUGCACUUUCAAGCAGCAUUUGAUUGUCUUGGUCUAGUUUCAUUUUCAUGUAUAGAUAUUAACAUUAAAACAAAUUGUCUUUGUGAAUUCCAUUACAUACAGUAGAUAAGCACAAAUGGAGACUUACCUAUCAUGGUAGAAAUCAAGAAGAGUGAAUGAGAAUGACUGUACACAACAUCAUUUGCAUGUUUCCCAGCAGCCACAUCUCGUCUCAUUUCUGUACGCACGCAGGCAACAUUACAGAUUGCCAUAAUCCCUCAAAGCUGACAAUCGUGAUAGGGCUGUUAAUGUUGUCACUGUACUGCUUUGUGCCCGCAGGACAAUGAAUAAUUUGUACCCUCACAUUCUUUCCGAGAAUUGGCUUCAUCGCAGGUGAUUGUGUUACAACAAUGCCGCCAUGUAAAAAGCACACUGAAUGUUGUAAAAGCCAUGAACAGGAAUGAAAAUAUCCUGCAGCCAGCUUAGAGCGGAUCAAGUUGUAAUGUUGGGUGAAUGAGAAAAGGCAGCGCGGCUGUAGCUUCAUCUGUUUUCCAACACGGUGCUGAUAGGUUUAUCAGCUGAAGAAAACUAAAUGUAAACCCACUGCUGAUGUGUUCUCCACUUCCUUCCAGAGGAGAAGUGGAGGAGAGCUUUUGUACUGGGGUAAAAAGCUGGUGUUGCAAGCACCUUUCAGCACCCCCUGAUUCGGUGCACAUUUCCAGGACCCUGUUCCACAGGUAUCACCCUCUUCUGUCAGGGGUCUGUAACCAGGACUGGAAUUCCAGCUGUUACAGUGCACACAUGCCAUUUAAAGUGUUUGUGACAUCCUGAAAAAUGCAGACAAGGCUGUGUGGAUCCCACGUAUACAUUUUCAGGAAGUUAAACAUCGCACCUCCUGCAACGUAUGUGGUUAAACAUCGCACAAUCAUCAACAAAAGUGAUUUAACUACAUUAAAGGGAUAUUCCAGUGUAAAAUUAAUUUAGGGUCAAACACCGCAACACCAAGUUAGACACCCCCCUUCGAACUUUAGUAACGACCACUAGCCAUCAAUAGACAAGCGGCUGCUGGAAGAGAGUAGGUGAGUUGUGUUUAGUCUCUUUGCUGAAGAAAUCAGGUAAAGCUUAAAAGAUGUUUGGUGGCUAGUGCUGUGGCUAGGACCCUAUAUGUACUGUUGAUGAAGUUAGGUGCUGUUCUGAGCAUUAUAUGUGGCUAUACAGUGGCGUUUUGGUUGAGGUUUGUUUAUGGCUUCUCAGACCGCUGUGUAUUGCUAUCUUGCAGUCGUUACUAAAGUUGGUAAAACUAGAGAAGCAAGCAGGCGAAGGGGUGUCUAACUCGGUGUUACGGUAUGUUUGACCAAAUUAAUUUUAAUAUCCUUUCUUUAUCCAUGCUUUCUUGUUUUAUAUCUUAAUUUUUUUCUUGCUUACAUUUUCAUUAUUUCAAGCUUUAAUCAAUACUGCCUGGAUGAUCACAUCCUACAUGUCACUGAGUUUCCAGUGAACUCUGAGAAGAUUCCACUGCCAAGUUUGCAGGUAUGUAAAAUCAGAGAAAGUGUAUAAUUUGAUGUUGUCAGUAUUGGAACGCUCCUGCACUGACAGUGGGUCAGUCCUUAAUACACACACACACUUACAGUGAAUGCACACUAAAGUCAAUGAGUCUGUGAGAGUGGAAUUUGGGAUUUUGCCACUGCUCUGCUUUCUUACCCUCAUCUCCCAGGGUGAUCCCAUCAUGAUGUUUCUCAGGAAGCAAAGGAUUGGACACACUAAAUUGAGGAGUCUACAUCUAAUCCUUUGACUGUGAUGGACAUCAUCCUGCCUCAACAGCAUGAUUUCAAUUUUGAGAAAUUUUCAUCCUCAUUUAUUUACACUACACAAGACAUGGAUCACAUGCUACGAUGCACAAACACACAAUAUUAUUAUUGGAGUGCACAAUAAUUAUGGCCGGAGCACAAGGCCAAGGCCGGACUCCCAAGAAAGAGGACAUGUCUGGGUUAAAGAGGACGUAUGGUCACCCUAGCAUACGAAGAUUGCAUAGCUCACCUGGGGGAUAUGCUGUUUGAGCGAAGCGUCAUCACAGCGACUCUUGGCGACUCUCCUGCCGAAUGUGUACAACGCUACUGCGCAAGUGGUGGUUCCAGGAAGUAGAGAAAAUCCCAGAAAUACCGAGAGCAAUUCGGCUUCAAAUUCGUAUAAUGAUGGGAGGCGGAACCAAGUUAUCCAUAGUAUAUACAGUCUAUGUUUACGUCUAAUAACGGCUGACCUUCUUCUGGGGCCUGCCUCGUGUGGCCAUUCAAGGAACUCUUGUUUGGCAUUUCCUUUUUUCCACAUGUCACUUUAAAAGUUUGAUCCUACCAAGUCUAACUGGGUCAAACAUGCUCCUUUAGCAUGAUGUAUUUUCAUCAAGGGAGCUGUGUAGUUGAAGUAAUGUACAAGAGGACUGCUCAUGUAAAUCAGAAUCAACUGUCUCAGCGAGAAUUAAAUGGGACAACUGUAUAUUAUCCCAAACUGGACAGAAAGUUCCUGUAGCAUGAGAAAAGGCAGAGAAUAGAGGGAACCCUUCCAGUUGUCUGUUUUCUGUAUUAACAUAUCCCUAUCACUACUGUCAGUUCUCUGUCACCGCUGGAGACCAGAACCAUGACAUCAUUCCCAAAUGUUUUGAAUGUCCAUAACGUUCUCAAUGACAGAACCGCCAGAGGGAUUGGUUCCACUACAGGCUGCGGUCCAAAUGUUCUCAAUAUUAGCUCCGCUCUGAAGUACAUCCCACUUCUGACAAUCAUGAGGACAUUCUCAAGAUGAUGUUAUAGAUUAGCAAUCAAUAACAGACAUCAUUUUUCAACUUUCACUUAAAGAGACAAGCCCGAUUGAGAAAUUGCUUAGACAGGCGUGUUUUUCCUCGAGGGUCUGUGAUGGUUUAAGUCUCUAUUGUUUGACCACGAGCAUAUGCUUCUGCUUAAGGGAGUUUCUUGACAUGGGAUACAUUUUUAAUCAUUUGUUAUGAAGAACAAAGAGGAGAUUUAAAAUAACCACACAGUCGUCCGAUGUAAGCAUACUGUAAGAUAAUCUAUUUUAUCUUCAGCACAACGAGGAUUUAAUACCAUGCAGAAAUUCUAGCUUUCAUAAGCCACCACAAGAGGAAAAAAAAGCGAGAAAGACUAGAAAGUGUCUGGUGAACUGUUCGUCCAUUUGUGCGUAUGUGAAUGGGUAUGAAAAAACCUGAAUGUAUGCACAGUCAAAUAGGAUUUUAAUGAAUUAUCAACAUUUAAACAUCUUUUUCCAUCUCUUUUCAGACUUCCAUUAAAAAGCAAUCAAAAGAUGCUUCUCCUUCCUCUUCCUCUGACAGCAAAUCUCAACAUCUGACAGUCCUGCUGACUGUGUUCUUCCUCUGUCUCGUCCCCAGACUGCUGCUCCAGCUCCACCCGCCUCAUGCUAAAAGCCGUCCAGCUGAGAUAAUUGGCCCCCCUGUCCACCUUUUCCUGCCAUUCAUGCUGCCUGAAAGCCUUUCCCUCACAGGGGAAACGAAGACGGCGGCUCUCUGUGCUCGUCCUCUCUGUUUGGCCUCUCAUCCUCGUAGACUAACUGCACAUUAAUUUUCAUUCGGUGGACUGUUAGGACUCAGUAAUGAUGACAUCUGUCACUGGGAGCUGGGGGUGUCUUUGGGGUCUUGUGACAGAAAAAAGGGAAGAAGAAUAGAAAAUGAGUCCAGGAAAAAAAAAAGCUGAAAAAAGGCGAAGAUUCCUCUCUGACAUUUGGGGAAAAUGGAAAUGCCACUUAAUACUUCACACUGUGACAUUAUUGUCUAAAUAAAUCCUAAAGCUUACUAUAGUGUGGGAUCUGGAUCUUAUGCCAUUAGAUGAUCCAAAGACUACAAUUCAAAUCUACAAUUUAUUCUUCUGAAUGAUCAAAAAUGAAUGUUACUUAAUGUCCAGGGCAUAAAAAGUCAUCAUCAAUAAAGCUGCAUGUGAAUCUUGGUAACAAAUACUCAAUUUAUAUGCAAAUGGGCAGAUCUUGUAUCAGCCACUGUGAUAAUGUAAUGUUAUACGAGAAACUAACCCACAUGAAAUAUAAGUAUUAAUUCAGACACACAUGGAGAUAAAAGCCACGAUGAAAAAUAGGUCUAAUAUGAGCGCAAUUAUUUUCAUCAGUCAGUAUUUCUCAUGUUAAAGAGUGCUGCAAAAUCUGUAUAUGUCUUGCAUGAGUGGUAAAUUUUAACAUGAAACAUUUUUUUAGUGUCUUAUAUACGUAUAUAACAUAAUAUCCUAAACUUUUACUGUUUACAAAAUUUUAGGUGGAUUAUAAAAAGGAAAAAUAUAAAUAUUUCAUUGGUCAGCUGGAGAGGAGAGGAGUUAGACAAACAAUCCAGACCUGCACAUAAAGCUGCAAAAACUGCAUUCAUUGUCCUUGUUUGUAGUCCCAGAUCUUCACCAGACAAAUGAUAAAACACUACUGUUUGCUUGACAGAGGUCUGGGACUACAACUUUGCUAAUUAAUAUGUUUUUUCACCGGUUGUUGUGCCUGAG